rnacentral:lncRNA from 1 species
UCUCGGGUAAUUUUUCUAUCUUCUUUUGACCUUUCAAAUUAAGGUAUUUCAAAUGUAACAAUUUUUCUAUAUUUGUUGGAAUUUCCUUGAUGUCAUUCACACUUGACUGCCUAUCACCCGCCUUUAAUUUUAAUGCCCUUAAACAAGUUAAUUUAUCAAAUAAUUGAGGCAGGACUUCACUAGACCAUGAAUAUUCAUCACUUUUAACUAAGAGGCUACGCAAUCCUCGCAAUCCUUUAACAUUACCCCAAAUGGAGAUCGGAACCGAAGCCCCCCUACGUAGAGUUAACAGUAAAUGAAGGAUUUUUUUCUCCCCAAAAGAGCUAAUAGCUAACUCUUCACCACUAUGAAUUUCUACUGUUAAACAUUUAUUACUACAUAAAUAUUGGGCAAAGUCGUGCACGAUAUCGUGCAUUUUGCAAUUAGAGAUUUCACCAUCAUCACCUUUGUCAAAAUCCUGAAAGAAUGAACGGUUAGCUAAGAUGUUGAAAUACUCAUCACCAAUAUCCUCCAUCUCGUUGCCUCCUUUCUCACUAAGAUAACCUUGUGCCAUCCAUAGUUCAAUUAACUUAUGCUUCCGUAUUUCAUAGUCUUUCGGAAAGACGGCACAAUAUGAGAAACAACACUUUACCUUGGAGGGUAAUUCUUUGUAACUCAACAAUAGAGGGGCUAAAAGGCCUUUCUCAAUUGCUUCUAGUUCCCAUAUCUCACUCUCUAAGAUAUUUUGCCAUUCUUUUUCAGUGUUUUUAGACCGCAAGAGACUAGCAAUUGUCUUUGCAGCUAAAGGUAAGCCCUUGCACUUUUUUACAAUUUCUCUACCAAUUUUUUCUAAAUUUUCACAUUUUCCUAUGGUCUUACCAGAAAUUGCCAACGACUGAAACACCGACCAGCAUUCCAUUUCAGACAAUACAUUGACAGAGAUAACAUGAGUUGAUCCCAUAAUACGGGCAACUGUUUCUUUACGUGUGGUAAUUAAAAUUUUACUUCCAUGGAGACCAUUCUUUAAACAUUUGUAGAAUGGUUCCCAGUUAUAGUAAUCUUCAUUCCACACGUCGUCUAAGACAAGAAGAAAUUUCUUCCCGGCAACACAUUCUUGAAUAUGUUGCAUGAGAGAUUGAAACUCUACAAGGUCUUUGGCAGAACCUGGCUUUAGAGACUCAAUGAUUGCUCUGGCGAUCCUGAACUCAUCAAAUGGCUCUGACACACAGACCCAUGUUCUUUUGUCAAAAUUUCUUUCAACAUCACCGUUGUUGUAGGCAAAUUGAGCAAGAGUUGUUUUGCCUAUGCCCCCCAUCCCAACAAGUGAGAUGAUAGAGGGGCCUUUCUGUUCUUUACUACUCUCACAUAACAACCUAUUAACGAGUUCGUUCUUCUCUUUUUCUCUACCAAAUAUCUCGGACUCAUCAAUUGAGGAGAUGCUUGGCACUCGUUGAUCCGCUCUCUCAUUAGUAACAUUCACAACAAAACCAAAUAUGUCUUUCUGUUUGGCAAUAUCAUCAAGAGUUUCGUUGAUUUCUUUUAUCUUCAGAGCAAUGUCACGACGUAAGACAAGUGGUUUGCAGGCAAAGCAAGAUGCAGUAGGAAAGAAGGAACAUACCUUCUUGUUAGGAACGAGAGCAUCAUUCUCGUGAUCAUCCACUCCGUCGAUUUGCAGUUUGAGCCUUGCAGUGUUCCACUCACCCAACACGUCUUCCAUGUCGUAACAUGCGUCUCUGAGUUGAUCGAGCCAGAGUCUGACAGUUUCCUCCUUCACUUGCCUUUUCUCAGCAUCAUGGAGCACAGCUCGAAUGGCUCGGAGAUUGCUGGUCAGCUUCUUCGCUUCCUUUCCGACACCCGUUACUAGCCUCACUUGUUCCUUCGCCUCUUCAACAGCCAUUGAAGUCAGCUGCUCCAAGAUAGGGGAAAGGAUCGCAUCAACCAUGGUGAAAAAGAAAAAAGAGAGAGAGAAGAAAUUGAUGGUGAAUUGUUGCAAAAGUAAGUAGCUAAUGCUGAAAGAAAUGAAGGAGCUGAUAAAGUGGUGAAAAUGUUGCCGUAUUCUUUCAAUUCUUAUAGUACUGCAAGCAAAAUUCUAAUUUAGAAAUAUUUCAUUUCAGCCCCUUGUGAAAGAAGCUACUGUUAUUAUUAUUACUUUUUUUUUUUUUAAUACCAGCAAAGAGUGAAAAUGACGUACAGUUAUGGACAGGAAAUAAUAUAUUGUUAGGUCCUACAUCGGCGAUUCACGCGAUAUAUGAAACUGACAAAGUUUUCCCUGAUCACUUUUUAAAUAAUUGAACAAGUUGUUGGAUAAUAUUUGUGAUCGUGUCGUCAUAUUGAGAUUUGGAAAUAUUUGCUUUAUAUGUGUAUUAUUAGCUUAGAAAUACCUUGACCAUCUCUUUCUUAUUUCCUUCUUCUUCUUUUUUUUUUUAAAUUUGACUCGUUUGCAUAAUUAGUUGAAAGGAAAGAAUGAACAUACUAAUAAACUAGGAAAACGCUGCCACAUAAUAUUUUAAGAUUCAUAUCAAACCACUUUAUUUUAGUUUUGUCAUUUUAGCAGAUGUCUGAUAGUGGGAGUUUAGAGUUUAAUCUCUAACUUUGCUUGUGAAGUGUGAAAAAUCAAAUAAUCUGUUCAACUUGUUUUUCAACAAAAAUAGAUAACAAUUCAUCAUCACUUAUUUCUCAUUAUGUAUAAAAUGAUCAAUCUAGAGCUGGAUAUUCGCAUAUUUUUCUAUUUCUAAUCAUUUCAAAAUAUAAUAUGAACUUUAAAAAAAAAUCAAAUUGUAAUAAAGUGACAUAAAUAUUAAAAAAUGAAAAUAAAAAGUCAAAAAUGUAAUGCGGAAAAAAGACAAAACCUUUUGUUUGCUCUAUUCAUGGCAUCUAAAUAUGAGAAAUGAUGGGUUGAUUGUCAUUGUGAACAACCAUAUAAUUGCAACACGUGAAUACCAUCAAAGUUAUAAUAAUUCAUGGACCCAUGCAUCUGUAUUUCUAAUUAUUCCGUGUAGAAGGCUAAAGUUUAAACAAUAAUAUUGUUUUAAAUAUCUCAAUAACAACAUGUCCAACAAAUCAGUUUGACAUGACAUAAUUUUAGUCAUAACGACUUUGUUAUAACUGAAACAUUAUUGGGAAAUUAAUGAAGAGUACUAAAUGAAACAACGAUGAGAAAGCUUAAUUAAGCCAAACAAUUUUGAUUAUUAACUCUCUAGUCUCUCUUGCACCAUUCCAGUAAUCCUCUGAUCGAUCACACAAUCUAAUGCAUAAUCUAUUCAUUUAAUUAAUCAAUUUGAAUAUAUAUAUAUAAGUGGUGGGAUCUAGAUCUACUGCAUGAAUUUUAAAGGAACUAUAAAUUAUUUAACAAAAUCUUAUUUUAAAACGAUUGUGCGGGACACAGCACAUGGCAACCCGGGCUUUAUCUCUUUUCACUAUUCAUAUACGUAGUGGCAGACAUCGGUGGCCAAUUAAGGGAUGAACACAACCAACCACUCCACCAAGUAAAUCUUGACGCGUGUGCUUUUAUGUCCAAUUAUUCUACUGUCUUUUUCUAAUGACUUUUAUCGCAGAAGUAAUUAAUUCUGAAAGAAAUGAAGGAGCUAAUAAUGUCGUGAAAGUGCUGCCACAUUCUUCCAAUUCUUAUGCUGCAAGCAAAGCUCCAAUUUACAAAUAUUUCAUUUCAAAAUAAGUUAUUGUUAUUAUUAUCUUUCUAAAUACUUACUGGUCAAAUCCAAUCAUAGUUAUUAAUUUAUUAAGCCCACGACCUGAUAAAUAAUUUAUUAAAAGAACACCAUGUGUAAAAAUUUAAUGAUUGUAUAAAUAAUUCGGUAACAGAAUUCUUUUCACCCGUUAUUAAUUGCUUGCAGAUGACUUACUGAAAUUACAAAUACGUUAAACAUUGUUUGACUGUGAAGUGAUGAAAAAUCAAAUAAUCUUUACUAUUAGUUUUGCAAUAAUAAUAAACAACAAAUCAUAGUUACUUAUUUCUUAUUUAUUAUGCAUAAAUUGAUCUAUCCAGAGAUGGAUAUUUACAUAUUCUUCUAUUUCUAAUCAUUUUGAAAUUUAAUAGAAUUUUUUUUAAAAAAAAUCAAUUUGUAAUAACGUGUCAUAGAUAUUAAAAAAUGAAAAGAGAAAGUCAAAAUUGUAAUGCUCAAAAAAGACAACUUUUUUUUUUCUUUUUCACGGCAUAUAAAUAUGUUGUUACAGGUAAUGGAAAUUUAGGCAGCGCUUAUGUUACAUUUGCUGCAAGUAACGGCCCGACAAAAUGGAUAGUUGGAUUUGUCAAUUUUUAGAUCCAACGGCUGUAAAGAAAUUUAACACAAAAUCAGUUACAGGUAUAGGUGGUAAAAUGAUUAUUAUAAUAAAGGAUGGGCAACCUGCCAAUACGGUUUUGGAAUUAUGUACUUAAGGGGUUAUUCGAUAAUGAAAUUAUAGAGGGAAAAGAAGAAUUAUGAGCGGAUGCUCUGGGUACGCAAAAAAUUCAAGAGGCAAAAAGUACAGUAAUUAAGUUUUCAAAGAGGGGAAAAUAAGAGUAGCACCAAACGAUGUUAUCAAUUUCCUUGUUCAAUUUUGCAGAUUCACAAAUUGAUUGCGAGAUUACUACUUAAAUAUUUAACUUGUCUUGUUUCACUGGAUGGUGAGGCUUCUGCCACUGAUGAGGCAAAGAAGAGAAACCAUGUCUUGAGAAAGCUUGAGAAGCGUAAAAAAGAUCGCACGCUUGACCCACAUAUUGAAGAGCAGUUUGCUAGUGGUCGUUUGUUAGCUUGCCUCUCAUCUCCGCCUAGCCACUGUGGACGUGCUGAUGGGUAUGUGACCCCUUUUAUUGCUUUUUAGUUUUCAAGAUUUGCUGUAAGGCCCUAAAAAUGGAAGUAUUCAACAUACACCAUCAUACCUGGACUUUCAUGUUGUUGAGGCUGGAUAUAUAUAUCCGUUCCUUUCCCUUGCCUCGUAAUGGGUAUUGGACAAUUGGUAGAAGUCCUUUUUUUUUUUAUGGCAUUAAACACCUUAAGAUUUGCUUUGGAGACCAUCAAAGUUGUUCCUUGUUUUUGUUUAUUUCCAUGGUAGUUAUUGGAUAGAUACAGGAGAACAAGACAGUAUAAUGGUAAUAUUUGCUUUCUUUUUUCUUGCAUUGAUGGGCUUUUUCAUUUCCGACAGAUACAUCUUGGAGAAAGAGCUGGAAUUCUACAUAAAGAAGAUACAGGGGUGCUGGUGCUGCUUAAAUUUUUGUUUAUUGAAACUCCAUACUGGAAUUUCUAGUCUUGCCUUGUGUUCUUAUUUUUAGUCUUAAUUAAGUUAAGAGAGUUGAGAUGAUAUCAGCAGUUGAACCUGGAUUUCUCACUUGUGUUAUUGUUACAUUUUGUUUUUGAAUGUUACCAGUGCCUGUCUUAGAAUUUCUUCCGUUCCUCUACGUUUUUCAUGAUUCUGUCUGCGUGAUCAAUGAAUUUGGUAGUUAAUGCCUUAAUGGUUAUUGCUUAAGGUUGAUAUAUUAAUUCCAUACCGAAAAUGAACCUGGUAUAUCUACGCAUGUGCAAUACAAUAACACAACCAUUUUAGGCACUAGUUAUGGGCAAGGCCAUCCCUAAAUAUACAAAUAACUGGGUUAAUGUAUUUUGUUUGGAAUUAGUUUCAUGUAAAAAUUAUUUUCUAACAUCUUUUCUAUAACAUUAUUUUUGUUGGCCUGAAGUUUGUGUGAGAGGAUUCUCUCUACAUGGAAUCUAGUUUCUCGACCUUUUCCCAUUUGUGCACCAUAUGUUGUGGUAAUAGAUGAGCAAAAAUCACGAUCCGUGAAUUUGCUAUCACAAGAACAAUCAAAGUAUGUAUCGAGGAACCAAUAAAGUGUUGGCUCCACUGGCAAUGGAGUCCUCCUUAAGUGGCUUGACUGAGUUUGCUCCUCAGUUUGAGUCGCAAGAAAAUCGCCUUUGUUAGGAGAACCUGUGCCUCCCGGUUCGAGCGGAGACUUCUAAUUUGAGCUGUGGUACGGACUUAAAGGUGCCUUCCACAGUUGGGGCCCUCCCCAGAAUACCUCGUGGUUAAGACAAAAAAAAAAGUAUGUAUUGAGGAAGCUCAUGGGGAUGAACGAAAAGCAAGCCGUUGCAGCUUAUUGAAAUAACAAGCAACAGUAAUUGGUUACUGAAACAAGAACAUGUAUUUCAUAAUUAAUACACCAUUUCUCUCUUAGGGAAAGCACGAUACCAUUUCUCUCUUAAGGAAGCGCAAUUGCAAUUGCGAUCAUAUUUCGGUAACAAAAACCAAACCAUGCAUGAUAAGCAUAUGAUAAAAAGUAGAGAAACAGGGGCAGCUGCUAUGUCUAAGAGUCAUUUCAUCAUACAUAUGGAAGGCGAUUUAACUGCAACCUGAGGUAUCCGGUACAGUCAAGAAAUCAAACAUGGGUAAUCAAGUUUUAUAUCACAUAUAUACACUACCCUCACAUAAAUUACAUUUCUUUACUCUAAUAAUAAUAAUAAAAAAAAAAUCGAAUAACGAAACAAAUUAUAAAAUUUUCGAAACACUCCCUCACAUCUGAAACCGUAGCUCCCCGUCAUUUCUCUAUGUAGUAAUAGUAGGCAGAACUCUGAAAUAAUUUGUUUUUUCCCCCAUUUUUUCAGCUUUUAUUCAAUAAUUUCCGUUAUAAAAUUGUUUGAAUAUUUCACAGAUUAAGUUUCAGAGGGGAGCUAUUGCUUCCUUCAAUAAACGGAUAAUGAGAUUAUGGAUUCUAAAGUGUUGAAAGCCAUAUAAUUUUUUUUUUAAUUUCAAAUUUUCUUUUUCUUUUCGAAAUUUUCAGUGAUAUGCUUAUCUAAUCUUCAACCGGCUAUUAUCAGGAAUGGAUAGGAUUGACUCUACCGUUGACACAUUUUGCAACUGGUUUCAACAUGUUUUUCAUACUGCCCCUUACUGACACGUGCUUCUCUUAUGUGAGUCAAUUGAUCACCUCACUUAUGUUACUUACACCAAAUGUAACAUAAGCUUACCCUGGAAUUUAUACCCCACAAAGGGAAUUUUCUUCCACAAAUGAUAUGAGAAUGUCGGGUGAAACAUGUGAAUGGGAAACUGCCUUACGAUUGCAGCAUGUGAACACUUGAAUUUCUUUUUGACAGAGCACAAUGAUAACUUACAGGUACUGCAAUAUUGCAUGAAGAUUCCUGGAAGUAGCCUGCAGCUCAAAUUAAUAAUUUUCUUUUGAACAAAACCAACCAACAAUAAUUUUCAAACCUGGAAGAUACUCAUUAAAAGAUGGAUCUUCAUCAUUUUUUUCCUCCCCACAACCCACCCACUAAAAACUUUAUUCAUUUAGUGUAACUUUUUAGUUUUGUUAGAAGAUACUUAGAACUGCCGAUAUCUUCCAAUUAUUGUUUUAAAAAUCUCAGUUGGCAUGCCCAAUUAACAAAUCAAUAGUCUUUGUUCGACAUAUUUAAAACAAAAAACAAAAAAAUCACACAUUGGUUUGAUGAGAGAUGAAAAGAAAAAGGAACACACUUACGAUCAUCAUUGCAGACGAUAUACACCAAGUAAAUCUUGAGACGUGCUUUUUCUAAUUAGCCAACUUUUUUUUUUAGGGAUAAAAAGAGACCGUCUCUUUUUCUUUUUCUUUUUUUCAUUAUUCAUAGUGGGAGACAAUGGUGGGGGCCUAGGGAUGAAAGUAAAAUUAAAAAUUAAACGUGAAUUAUGUGGUAAAAGUAUUUAAAUUAGAUAGUUGUAAGUUAAAAGUUAUAAUAUUAAAGUGUUUGGUUAACAUUAGUUGUUGUAACUUAAAAUAUAUAUUUAUAUAAUUUUUCAGCUGUAUAAUAAAAAAUUUAUUAUAUUUUUAAUAAUUUUAUUAAAAUUAUUAUUUAAAAUUUAUAUUCAUUAUAUUAUGAAGUUUUAUUUUAUAAUUACAUAUUAUGGGAUGUAAAGGAGUUUGGGAGCUGUAGCCUUUAGUUGGCUUAGGGAGAUGUUAAAGUUUUGAGAAAUGCUUAGAAAUUUAUUUUAUAAUUUGUUUUAAAGUUUAUUUUAUAAUUUAUUUAUAACGUAUAUAAUACGCUCUCAAUUUUAUUACUAUAAAGUUGAAUCUAUUUUAUUUACUUUAUAAUUUUUUUAUUCGGGUUCACUGACCGUGUACUCCAGCUAGAUUCUAAAAACAAAAAAUGAAAAUAUAGUCUAGAGAAAUAACAUCGAACAGACUCUUAACUUAUCAUCUUCACAUCAUCAUUUUGAAUUUCUUUAAUUAAUUCUUUUCAUUUUACUCUUCAAUAAUAAAUGUCACUUCAACUCGUGUGUGUACAUAAUAUAGGAUAGAAAAAUAAUGUCGAACAAACUCUAACAUAUCAUCUUCGAAUCAUCUUUUUGAAUUUCUUUAAUUAAUUCUUUUCAUUUUACUCUUCAUUAAUAAAUGUCACUUCAACUCGUGUGUGUAUAUAUUCAUACUAUAGAAAUUAAAAGUUUGAGUUUACUAUUGUAGAUGAAGUUAUGUUUUAAUUAUUAUUACUAUUACUAUUAAUUAAUUUAUAUUAUUAUUAUUUUUUGUUAAGUUAUUAUCAUUAACUAUUACCUCUGAUUUAUUAUUGUAUUAUUAACCACAACAAAUAAAUAAUAAUAAUAAUUUAUUUGAGGACAAAAGUAAAAUUAUGAAAUUUAUAAGGUGGUAAAAUAGAGAGUUCAAGGAAUAGAAACUUAAUUUCCUAUCCCCUCAUAGAAAUCAAGUUUAUGUUCUUUAAUUCCCAAAAACACGAGCCCUAUAUGUUUCAUUCCCAUUUCUAUCUAUAUUUAAGUAAGUAAACAUCAUCAAUCAUUUUCGUUUUGAAUUAUGAUUUUUCAAUCCAAAAAGUAGAUGCCAGUAAAAGAGAGAGUUAAACUUGACUCACCCGCUUUUCUAAUUGUUCUGAUUUGUUGUAUAAUUUAUUCUAAAGUUAUUUUAUAAUUUAUCUAAAACGUAUAUAACACGUUCUCAAUUUUAUUACUAUAAACUUACGCUGUAUUGUCUAGUCUUAGUAAGUAACGACUCAAUUGGAUGUGGGAGGAUCCCUUCCGCUUUGACCAAAAAAACUGUUUCGAGGACAGUAUUCUAACUCAACUCAAGUGCGGAACAAAGAAAGAAACGCUAAGAACGUUAAUGAAAGUUAACAUACAGAGCAAACUAGUCAAGAGCACACACAAGAGGAGAAAUAAUUAACACUAUUAUUUUACAUGGUUGAGUUUCUCUAAGCCCACGUCCACGAAGACAGACACUUGGCUACAUGCAUGCAUGCUUUAUUAAUUGACCAAGGAAUUUACAAGGAAACUCUCUUUUCCAGAAGUUACAAGAGCCCUGACACUAUUCCUCUCGAGGUCUAGUUCAAGUCGCCCAAGCCUCUCAAGCUCCCUUAAGAACUCUGCUUUCUUGCUGUUCAAGAAAGCGCCUGAUUGGAAUCACAUGCUCCACGUGACAUCUGGCAUAACAAAAUCUGCUGCCGUACCCGGCCAAUUUAUGAUGCCACUUAUGAUACCCUUUCACGUCAGCUUCCCUUGCCCUGCGUCAUCAUAGGACCUUACAUCUUGGAACCUACAUGAAACCUGAAUCUCUAACAGCCCAUCAUAAAAGAUAUUAGUUUUAAAAUAUGGAAAUUACCAAAAAUACCUGCGCAUUUUGAAAUUUGUCAAAAAAUGAAGAGUAGAAAGCAAUAGGAAAACGUAAUUAACCAACCAAUUUGAUUCCUCUGAUCGCUUUCAUCUCAGGACUCUUUGUCUUCCCGUGCGUCUUCGAUUCCACAGGACAAUCUUGGAUUGAAUUUAUACAUCAGAAGAAAAUAUCAGUAUGCCCAAAAUAAAAAAAGGUGUCAUAUAGAAGUAUUCUGUCGCAGACUUAACAUAUCUAUCAAGUAAGUAAUUAAUAAUUCCUAGUUUUAAAAGUAGAGCAAUUGGAUAUCAAGUCCGUAAAUUCAAGAUAUAAUAACUCUUGACAAUUAUAUAUUCAUAUGCAUGUUAGUAGCAUGAUGCUACCAAUAUUCGCACCUUUAGCAUUCAAACACUUGAUCAUUGAAAGAAUUUAAGAAAAAUGUUGUUUGGUUACUGAGAAAAUAUCUCAACAAAAUUUUCAGAGAACUUUCCGGAAUUCUUGCCUUUAUUUCACUUAAUGAAAAAUGUUACAAUUACAUUCAAUUUAUAUUCGAUGCUUUAGCAUUACUAUAACUAACUCAGAACAUACUACACAUGCUUAACUACAGCUCAAUAGAUACAGAGUAAGUCAUAACAAACUUUUAACUACUUAUGCUGAGGUGGCAACUGAGCUGUUAUUCCGCUUAAUCAUCUGACGUCACCAACUUGUUGGUUUUCCUCAGCUCGAGCGUCUUCUUCCUUUCUGUACAAUGAGCUUCUUUAACAACCACUGAAGCAGCCUUUCUCACCAACCUAGCUCCGACAUUAAUCUAUAGAGUUAUCAAGACCGACAUUCGAUGACGUAAUCACAUAAAGUUGCGCUUAUGCCUACAAAAUGGCUGAAUAACUAACCAAUUCGAUUCCUUAUUGCACCAUUCCUGAAUCCUGUCCUCUGAUACUGUAGGCCUCUUCCCGUCUUCCAUAUCGCAAGACACUUCACCUAGCCCAAAACAUACCGUUCUUGGCUUGAAAAUGGAAAGUCUCGUGCAGUGCAGAAAUCAGAGGAAUUAACCCACUUAUGACCAUCGUGUGUGUAUAUAGUAGACGAUGUAAUUAGAUAUCUAAUGAGUGUUUAAGAUAUUACAGAUUAAAAUGUUGCAUACUCUGGACAUUAACAUAACAUAAAAUUUGAUCCACAAUUUACUCAAUUUCUGAGUUAGCUUACCAAAAGUAUUGUAGCAGAAAUAACCAAAUCAACCCAGGUCCUUAUAUGGAGCCCCUGCGCGUCAAUUAAAGUAAAAGCUCGAUCCUCUGUUAUCCGAAAUGGUCAAACAAACAUUAAACCAAAAUGUUGAAGUCUCUUUCUUUUGCAAUUCUAGCUCUAACUGAUGAGAUUGAUCGAAAAGAAUAACCAACAUUAAGAUUAAUUUUUAUUUCCAUUUCUAGGAAAUGGAGAAUUAAAUGGAAUUCUCUCAGUAAAGCUCACCAAUAUCUGUCUCCGUCAUCACAUAGAUAUAUCAGACUAGCUAUCUAAUCCUUUUAUUUUAUUUUUUUCCUUUUUCAUUCAACAGCUUCAGCAUAUAACAAGAAAGCUUGGGCUCCUACAAUGUUUAGGCCUCAUCACGAUUAAGUACUCGUACGGUGGCGCAAGUAGCAGGCCUGGCGCCACUCUGGAUCUGCUAGAGAAAAAAAUUUUACACAUGCGCCCUGAAAAUCUGUUACAUAAAUUAUGUCCUAAUAAUCAGCAAUAAUUCAAAGAUGCGGAUAAAAAAAACACUAUAAUGUACAAACAUACACCUUGUUUAUAUUUUUUGUAUCACAUGAGACAUAAACUCCUCAAGAGUCAAGUCCGACAUUUAAUUCAACCCAUAAACUUGUGCUUGUAGCCCGCAUAAAUGGUUAAACAAAUAUUAUAUUUUCGACUUGAAGAUUGGAUUACAAAUAUAUAAUAGGAAAGUAAAAUGGAGGAGGAGAAAGAAAUUACCUGUAGUAGUUGAGAAAUUACUGCCAAAAAUAAACUUACCCGUAGGAAUUUUAUUUGGUUAGUAAUUGAGAAAGAAAUUACCUUAGGUGAUGACUGAAAGGAAUUUAGAUCUAUCAAAAAUAGAUGUAAGCAAUUAAAAACUAAAAAUUAAUUACUUAAUUAAUUUUUUCAGAAGUGCUGUUCAUUGUUACUGUUUACGGUUCUGUUCACCACAACUGUUUACAGUUACUUUACAAUUAUUGUUUAUCCACAUAAAAAAUAUUAAUUUUCCAAAAACACAAUAAAAUGCCGAAAAUAAAUUAUACAGAAAUUUUUACGUGGUUCGUAUUAAUCAAUCCUACAUCCACGUGGGCACGCCAAGAUGAAAAACAAUCACUAAGUUGAGAUGUUACAACUUAUGGAUUUACCAAACUUAAGACUCUCACUUACAGUUUAUCACCAUACAGUUUACUCAACCUUAGACUGAAUCUGCUUCUCUUAAAUAAUUGCUACCCCUCUUGAUCCACGAUCCUCAAGGCACUUUGCAAAGUGAUCAAUAGCAAUUCUUCAAUUCUUCAACGUCUAGUGAUCCAAGAUUGACAUAGAGUCUCAACAGAGAUAAAAAGAAGAUAAUAAAACAAAUCAACACAACAUGGUGCGCCAAAUUCGGAUUCUCUGGGGAGGAGGCCGAAUUUUGUUUCUCUACUUUAUACUUUGUGUUGUGCCUGUCUUCAAUUGUGAAAUACCUCUAUUUAUAUAGGCAAUAGGGUUUCACCAAAAUAGCAAGUUUGAAAAAACUUAGAUACUUUCCAAAUAAGAGUUUGUUUCCUCUUAUAAUUCCUAUGAAUCUGAAUAGGAAUAAAUAUGAUCUUCUUGCAUUACUUGUCUCCGAAGAAAUAUCUAGAGCAUUUAAUGACUUCUUGUUUGAACCAACUUCUUGCUCUAAAUAGAUCUCAUGCACUAAUAAUAGAAUCCCACCAUUAAUUGACUUGCUAAAAUAGACAUUUAAUUAAAUUAGGAAACAAAUAUUCCUAAUAAAUUGGAAUCUCACUAAAUUAGGAAAUUAAUAAAUUAAUCCCUAUUACAAGAUAUGCAAUAAAUAAACUUCCAAUUUAACUAGAACUUAACAAUGGUGACGGUACUCGUUUUAAAAAUCCUCAAGGUUCGAAUUUGACAUAUUGGUGAUUGAUUAGGAUGCUGGGAAUGUGGCAUAUCUUGGGGCAGUCCUCUCCUGUUUCCUUUAUGUGAUGCUCUUCUAAAACAGAACACGAACUAAUACCUGAAUCCUGCAGUGUUGUUUGUUGUGCGCAGAAUGCGAAAUCAAACGCACCAAAUAAUCAUAGAAAAAUAAAGGACACAAAAUUUAACUCAGAUACUAUCUAUGAAUAAUAUAACUCAGUACCUCACUUCAUGCAAGCUUUGAUAUAUUAUUCCUUCUAUCUAUUUAUCCACUGCUAAUUGUUUUAUAAAAAAUUUGGUGCACUGAAGUGAACCCAAUAACUCCUAGCUAGAAGCAACAAUGUCCAAUUAAGCCGCUGAUACAAUCAAUCAAACAAUAAGGAAAGGAUCAACAACACAAAAAGCACACGCAAGGCACAAAGAUUUACAUGAUAUAUCCACAGGUGGCGAUGCUGGUAUCCACUAUACGUGUGAUGAAAACAAGUGUAUAUAUAUAAAGAACACCACCUGUCUCCUCACAAUAAGCCCCUAGAAUACAAGCGCAAAUAAAAAUAAGCCCAUUCCUGCUCUGCUCUGCCCUCAUGUACGUAACUCCUCUGCUAAGAAAUAUUGCCUUAAAAUAUCCGUAGCAUAUGCAUGGAUGACCAGCAAAUCAGUUAAGACAUAUAAAAUUACCAUCCACACAGGAAAUCAGCAAAUCAGUGGUUUCAGGAAUUUGUAAUUGAACAUCAGAAUAUGAAGGGUACAGAGCAAUGGGAAAAAGUAAUUAACUAACCAAAGAAUUUAAAAUCCAAAUAAGAUAAUUAACGUAUGAAAGCUGGGUUGAAGCCCACCUUAGAGCCCCUGUCUAUGAAGGCCAAUAAAUCUCCUGUUAUCUGUUUGCUUAGAUCUUUAUGUAUUCCUAUACACUUUUUACUCUACUCUGUUGUUCAACCUUCCUUGGCUUUAUGUAUCUAUUUUAUGUGUAUUGAGAAGGCUAGUUACUAGGUGUCAACUCUUCUCUUUAAAAGAUAAAGUUUUGAGAAAAGGAAAGAAAGACACCCACUGCCAGCUACCUUGUCAUAUGUUGCAUACCAAAAUUGGAUAUUAAUUAUGGUCACUGUAUUCAACCUGCUAACCAAAUUCAAAAAAAUUAGUCUUCCCGAUUGAGUAAGUGAGCCCUGAAAAGACAUUACCCAGCUUAAAAGCCAAAUGAAUGUAGACUUGUGAUUGGUGUAAUUGGUUUUAAAGAAAUUAGUAUGCAUCCCCACUGAAAGCCAGUAAAUAGAGUUGAAGAAGAUGCUAAUGUGCCACAGCUAACAUAAGCAUAAUUUGAUCAGCCGAAUGACUACCAAAUGAAAAAGCAACAUAAACUUAACAGAACUGUUAGGAUUAAUCGAAGACACAUAUAUUUGUGCCAAUUUUCACACCUUUAGCAUUCAAACCUUGCUCUAGAACAACUGCUGUGGUCCGAUGCUGCAGGCAAAAAAUUUGACCUACGAAGCAGCCUCACUCACCAACCUAGCCCCAAAUAAAUUUUUUGAAAUGCCUUGAAAACCUUAACAUUAUAUCCAAAUAAACAUAACUUGUGUUUGUGACGUAAUGAGAUUGCAGUGCAUUCGUAGAGUGUACACUUAUCUGCCAUUUCGGAACAAUUUUUUUUUACUUCUCUUAAAAUUUGCAUAAGAAAUAGCAAUAUGGACAAGUACCUACUUAUGAAAGUGUUAAGAUAUUUUUACAUUUCUUCUUUUUCUUUCAAGGAGUAAAAGUAAUUAUUCAUUUUGUUGAUGCCCAUUUACUCUAUAAAUGCCAUCAUGACCACUGAGAUAUGUUCAUGAAUAAGCAUCUACCAUCAGAUCGAUUCGAAAACGGAAAGGAAUAGAGAAAUAAAAGGUGAAACAAAUGAAAUAAUUAAGGAGAGGAACGAGAUUCUGUUGUCUGGUUAUAACUGGAAAUCAAGCAUGAAAAAGGAAUUGAUUUUUCUUUUUUGGUUGACAGAAUACACUUUCAACUAUAAGAAAAAAAAGAAAAUUUGAAUUUGAUAUUUAACAGAAAAUUCAAAUAAAAUCAAAUUCAUUUGUAAUUUAAGUUCAUUUCAUUCUUAAAAUUUGACAUAUAGAAUAAAAUUUAUAACUGUUUCAAAUACAAAAACAUAUUAAUAUUCAAAAUAAUAAAAUUUUCAUGGCAAAAAGUUAAAAAUAAAAAAUAAAACGGUUUGAUGGAGAAUGGAAUUGAGCAGGGAAAGUUUGAUGGAAGAUGCACACACCAGUUGUGGAAUUAUACUGUUAGUCAUUUUAUUAAAAAAAUAAAAUAAAAAUAAAAAUCACCUCGUUGAAAGAUUAUUUGCUACGAUUAAAAAUUUUAUUUGGUGAGCAAAACGACGUACGGUCCUCAAAAACCUCAUGAUGAUGCAUGUAUAUUCUAAGCUUCAUGACAUCAUAAUAAAAAUGUUUUGCGAAGGUAACUGGAAAUUUGUUUUAUUCAAUGAAUGGUACAUUUACUGGUAUGUUUAAUAGUUUGUGGGUAAUUGUUUAUUUUCUUUUGGUUGAAAAUUUUGCCAUCUCACAAACUAACAACUAAAUUUGACUCCUUUUUAUAUAAAUUUUAUAGGCCCGCCGAUUCACCAAUUUUAUUUUAUAAUCCUUGUAUGUUUGUUAUCUUUAAAUUAUGACCCCAAGUACCAAAAUUCCAAUAUCACGGUCUUUUAUAAGGUUUGGUUAUGAUAAUUAAUUAAUACGAUAAAUACAAACAAGGCACAAAUUAAAAUUUAUAUGGUUCGGCAUAUUAAUUAAUAUGCCUACAUCCACGGAUGGUGAUACCGAAAAUCCACCACAUGAUGAAAAAGUGUACAAACAAUAAUGAAAAUAUUGCUUUCCCAACAAAUUAAUCAGUUAGACGAAUAUAUCCUAAUUAUAAUGGUUUUAUGACAUACAUACAUAUCAAAUUCAUGACUUGUAUUUUGCACUGUUGCAGAGCAAUGAGCAGGCUACAAUACGUUCACUUGUUGAACUCGACCCUCAGAGCGACGGAGAGGACCAUUUGCUGUAUCCUCGAAGACUACCAGAAGGAGGAUGGUGUGUGUGGAAGUACCAGAAGUUCUACAAUAUUGGAAAUGGUUCAGCCGUGAUCAUUGGGAAAAUUAAAAAACCGAAUAAGUAAUAUAAUAAUUAUAAAACCAGUCGGUUCGAUUUUUUAUUUUAAAAAAAUUAAAAAACUGAACCGAUUAUCAAAUAAACCGAAUAACAACCGGAAUCCCUAAAGUGAAUAAAGUCUAAACACUCUAAACUAAAUUGUGACCACUUCUUCUGAGUUCUGAUCAUCAACCUAAAUCGUGACCACUUCUGAGUUCUGAUCUUCAGCUGAAACUGAAAUCGUGACCUUCAGCCGCUGAAGUCUCGUCCCCGUUGCUCGUCGCCGCCACUGCUCGUCGCUGCUGCUUAUCGCUGCUGCUCGUCGCUGCUGCCCAUCGUUGUUGCUCGUCGCCGAGUCUCCGCCACUGUUACCACGUGCUGCAGCCGCUGUCAGCUGCUGCUGCUGCCACUGUCACCAACAACUCUCAGCAGAACAAGGUUUUAUGAAUUUAAAAAGCUAUAGCUAUAAUAUUUUGUUAUCAUUGGGGCCAUAUAAAUUCGUGAGAAUCCCAGAAAUUGCAUUGAAUUUUUACUGAAUCUGAUAAGCCCGGCAUAUCUUAAUCCCAGCUAUUUUGGCUAUAGCGUACCAUUCAUUCGUUAGCUCCAAGGGCCCAUCAACAGGCGUUUUCGGGAAUCGGCUGCGGGGCGAAUUUGGGGUAAAUGCAAGAGGAUAAAAAAAAGCUAUAGCCAAAAUAGCCAAGAGGAUCCCAAGGGCCCCGUCAAUAAGAAUUUGCAGACUUGCAUAAAUAAAUUAUGUAUGAUGCUAUAAAUGAUGCCCAUUAGCCAGACUUGCAUUCUCAGCAAUUCUUCUCCAUUUCUUAAUCCUUUUAUCCAUAUGCUUUGUUAAUGCACAAUACUGUUGAAUAAACUUUGUAUUCCUUUUAUCAGUUUGUUUGAGAUUAAAAUUGGAGGUAAUAAAAUGUUGUUUUGAUUUCAAUUGAGAUGUAUUUAGCUUGAAACAUUGACUUCAUGAAACUAAUUUUGACACUUGAUUUUCUGAUCGAAUUUAUGAUUAUAAUUGGUGAGGAUGAUUUGAAUUUAAUUGCAUGCCAUCAGCCAGGCCAGUGUUGGAAUGUCAUAAUAUUUUUUAUUUGUAAUCCCCAAGAUUUUUUAUUUGUUGCUUCUGUUGUAUUGAUUUGUUGUUGUAGAAUGGAAAACUAUGAUGAGGAGGAAGUGCAAGAGGUGGAGGUUGAUGAUGUGAAAAAAAGAAAAAUACUUUGAGACAUAUUGUGAUUUUUUGUUUGUUAACUUUUUAUGUUUGUGGUAGAUUUAUUAAUUUAAGGUUUUAAAUUUAAAAAAAUCCAAAAUAGGCCCAAUAGGCCUAUAAUCGAAAUAAUCGAACCGAACCGAAUCGAAUUAUUUCAAUUAAUCGAGUAUUUGAUUAUUUCGAUAAUUCGAUUAAUCGCGAUUAUAAUUUUAAAAUAAUUGUAAUCAAACGAUAAUGAAAAGUUUAGUAAAAACCCGAACCGAACCGCGCCCAUCCCUAGCCACCAGAGCUUUAGUUCAGUGAUUUUCUCAAUACGACGUACGGUCCUCAGAACCUUAUCAUGAUGCUUGUAUAGUCUAAGCUUCAUGACAUCAUAUUAAACAGUGUUGGCUUUAACCAAUUGGGGGCCUUAGCCGAAAUUUCAUUUUAGGCAUUCUAAUGUUAAAAUAUCAACUAUCACAAGAAUAUUAAAUAGCUAAAAAAACUCUCACAACAACAUCAAGUAGCUCAAAAUUCAACAAUAUCUUGAAUUACAACAAUUAUUAACAAGAUCUAAAAAAAACAAAAAAUAAUAGUUGGAAAGAUAUCUAUUUCUUUCCACAUGAAUAUUAACUAACUUUGUCUUCCACAAAAUCCAGCUCCUUAAGAUGCUCUAAAACUUCUUCAGCCAUAACCAUAAUCAUCUCGUGAACUUUAUAUCAUUGCUCCUACCUAAUAUGAUCCUAAUCCAUAUUUUCUAGUUGACAUGCUUUUCAAAUUAAAAAAAAAAUAAACAAACAAUUUUUUUUUCUAGAUUAUUCAAGCCAAAAUCAAUACAAAAAAUAAAAAAAUAAAUUAAAUUUAAAAAGGAUAAGAACAGUAAUAAAAAAAUGGAAAAAAAUAGAAUGAUAGCACCUAUAAUUGAGUCAAUUGACUAGUUGAGAUGAGGAUGAUGAUGGCAAUGAAUUUUGUAGAGAAAGAGAAGAGAGCACAAAAACUUUUUGUUGAAAGUAGCUUUGAUUCAAUGUGUAUCGGUUUAUAGAUAAUGAGUUUUUAAAUAUAUUUUAAUAGAAUACUAAAAGUUAGCUCUAAAAAUCCAACGUUACUAAUUUUAAUAAGAGCUCUUUUUGGAAAGGGAAAGCAUUCAUUUGUUUUUUGGGAAAAUAGUAAAAGAAAAUAAAGAAGUAAUGUUAAAAAUAAUUAUUAUACCAUACAAAUAUAUUUUAUAUUUAAGGUAAAGAUUAUUAAAUAGGAGAGACAAUUAUGAAUGAGAGUAAUGAUAGGGUAAAGACUAAAAAUUAGUUUUUUUUAAUUGUAUAAAAAAAAUAUACGUAACUUAAUUUUUUAAUCUUAAAAAAAUUAAUUAUAUUGAUUAAUAAAUAGAUACCAAAAAAUUAAGGUCUUCCUAAAUACGAGGCCCUAGGCAACUGCCUAGUUUGCCUAGUCCUAAAGCCGUCACUGAUAUUAAAAUCAUAUUGCUAAGGUAAUUAGAAAUUUGUUUUAUCCAAUGAAUGUUACAUUUACUGGCAUGUUUAAUAUUUUGCUUUGGUUAAAAAUUUUGCUAUCUAACAGCUAAUAACUGAAUUUGACUCAUUUUUAUGUAAAUUUUAUAGACCCACCAAUUCACCAUUUUUUAUGUUAUGAUCAUUGUAGGCAUGUUAUUUUUUAAAUUAUGAUUCCAUGUGAAAUCAAAAUUUAAAUUUCACCAUCUUUUAUAAGAUUUGAUUAUAAUAAUCAAAUAACACAAUAAACAAACACAAGGCAAAAAAAUUUACGCGAGUUGACAUAUUAAUUAAUAUGCCUACAUCCACGGGUGGUGAUACUAAUAAGCCACUAUAUAAUGAAAAAGUGUACAAAUAACAAUAAGCUCUCAGAUGAGCACAAAAAAAGAAAAAGAAAAAGAAAAAAGAAACACCAAUCUCAACACUCAAAAACAAUCAAUCCCCAGCAGUUUGGCCUCACAAGAGCUCUCUCUGCGUUGUGCUUUCCCUCGUUCAUUCUCUUUACAAAUACAAGGCUCGCAAAAAUACAAAACGAAUUACUGAAAACAUACAUAACAGAUUAAAAAAGCACGCGCCGCGCCCGUCCCCCAAUUCCUGCUCUGCGACGCCAUUUCGUAAUUCCUUUUUGGCUGAAAAAUUAAUAUCGCUUUCCCCAACAAAAAAACAAAUGAAUCAGUUAGACAAAUAUAUCUAAUUUUAAUGGACAUUGUUAAAUUAAUGAAGAAGAGUAGAGAGAGAGCAAACGAGAAGGAAAGCGUAUACAAAUUAUAAUUACUAACCAGAGUUAUUAGCACCAUUACAUAUAUAUAUCCCUGCUGAAUCCCCUCCUCUGUUCACCAUUAGUUUCUAAAAUGGAUUAAAAAAUAACUACUAAUUAAUUUUAAUUAAAAUAGAGUGAGACACGCAAUGCAUGCAGGAGAUCUAGAAAUAAAUUACCCGUGGCGGUGGCCGUGGGUGAUUGUAAUUGACUAAUUGCAGCCGCGCACUUCACUCAAUCUCGAUGUUGGGAAUGUGGCGUAUCUUAGGCCAGUCCUCUCCUGUCUCCUCUCUGUAACGUUCUUCUAAAAUAUAACACCGCCUAAUAUACAAUUCCUGGAGCGUUGUCUUCUGAAGAAGGUGAUCGGGCAGUGCUUUUAAUUUAGGGCAACUCGAAAUAGUCAAGGAAGAAAGACGUGGCAUGAUUAUGAUUUCUUCCUUUAUUGCAGUCCCGAGAUCCCACUCUUCCAGUUCUUCCAUAUAACGAAAUCUGAGCAGUUUCAAUUUGGGAAAGGCAAUAACUGAGCAGCCAUCCGUAUCACCUUCUACUCCCAGAAAUUCAUUACCCACUCUUUUCACAUUUUCCAUUCCUAAAAUAUGAAGAGAUUCAAGGGAUGGCAAUUUUCCCAAAGGAGGCAAAUGCUCACAAUUUCUCCACCCGAAGAGAAAUAAAACCGUUAAAUUGGUUAACGACAUGAACCAAUUUAUGGGGACAACAUUCCUCCUCCCUCUGUAUUCGUCUAUCCGUAAUUUCUUUAAAUUAGGAGAUGGUCCCAAGGCUUCAAGAAGCCGUUCAUCUUCAUCCUCCUCAUUCUCCCUCCUCCCAGCUCGUUCUUCAUCUCCAUCUCUUGAAUGACCAAAAUGAAGUCCCAAUUUUAAGAGAUUUUUCUUUUUCUCAAGUUCAGCCCUUCUAGCCUCCCCCGCAUCUGACACAUCACCCAGCCCACGUAUCCUGCAGUCUCGAAGGAGGUUAAGCUUUUUAAGAGACCCAAGGCUACAUGCUCUGUCAUACCCUCCACCCACAACAAAAUCUCUCACCCUCCGAAGCCUGAUUAAUUCCCCAAUCCCUGCCGGCAAGUAUCUUAAAGAAUCAGUCCCCUCAUUGUGUAAAUACAUCAGCUUUCUUAACUUCCCUAUCCCUCGAGGUAAUUCUCUAAGUUUUACACAACAACUAACAUCUAAACGUUCUAACUUAUAUAACUCACACAUGGUCUCAGGUAAUUUUUCUAUCUUCUUUAUACCUUUCAAAUUAAGGUAUUUCAAAUGUAACAAUUUUUCUAUAUUUGUUGGAAUUUCCUUGAUGUAAUUCACACAUGACCACCUAUCACGAUUUAAUUUUAAUGCCCUUAAACAAGUUAAUUUAUCAAAUAAUUGAGGUAGGACUUUGCUAGACCAUGAAUGUUCAUCACUUUCAACUAAGAGGCUACGCAAUCGUCGCAAUCGUUUAACAUUACCCCAAAUGGAGAUCGGAACCGAAGCCCCUCUAUAUAAAGUUAACAUUAAAUGAAGGAUUUUUUUCUCCCCAAAAGAGCUCAUAGCUGACUCUUCACCACCAUGAAUUUCUAUUGUUGAACACUCAUUACUACAUAAGUAUUGAGCAAAGUCAUGCACUAUAUCGUGCAUUUUGCAAGUAGAGAUUUCACCAUCAUCAUCUUUUUUAAAAUCCUGAAAGAAUGAAUGGCUAGCUAAGAUGUUGAAAUACUCUUCACCAAUAUCCUCCAUCUCUUUGGCCCCUUUCUCACUAAGAUAACCUUGUGCCAUCCAUAGGUUAAUUAACUCUUUUUUUUGUAUGCCGUAGUCUUUUGGAAAGACGGCACAAUAAGUGAAACAUUGUUUAACCUUAGAGGGCAAUUCAUUGUAACUCAACAAUAGAGGGGUCAAAAGGCCUCUCUCAACCUCUUCUAGUUCCCAUAUCUCACUCUCUAAGAUAUUUUGCCAUUCUUUUUCAGUGUUUCUAGACUGCAGGAGACUAGCAAUCGUCUUUGCAGCUAAAGGUAAGCCCUUGCACUUGCUUACAAUUUGUCGGCCAAUAUUUUCUAAUUUUUCACAUUCCUCCUUGGACCUGUCGAAAAAUGCUAACUGCUCAAACACUGACCAGCAUUCUAUUUCAGACAAUACAUUGACAGAGGUAACAUUGGUUGAUCUGAUACAACGGGCAACUCUAUCCUUACGCGUGGUAAUCAAAAUUUUACUUCCAUGGAGACCAUUCUUUAAACAUUUGUAGAAUGGUUCCCACUUAUAGUAAUCUUCGUUCCACACGUCGUCUAAGACAAGAAGAAAUUUCUUCCCUUCAACCCAUUCUUGAAUGUGUUGCAUGAGAGAUUGAAACUCUACAAGGUCUUUGGCGGAACCUGGUUUCAGAGCCUCAAUGAGUGCUCUAGCGAUUCUGAACUCAUCAAAAGGAUCUGACACACAGACCCAUAUUCUUUCAUCAAAAUGUUUUUUAACAUCACCGUUGUUGUAGGCAAAUUGAGCAAGAGUUGUUUUGCCUAUGCCCCCCAUCCCAACAAGUGAGAUGAUACAAGGGCCUUUCUGUUCCUUACUGUUAAGGAAGCACACAUCAGUAGCAUAGACUGUAAAGCAGAGGAUAGCAGCAGCUCCAGCUUACAGUUAAGAGUUGAUGACAUGGCAUGCCAGCUGGCACCUGGUGGUUAUGUAAUCACUUGUUCACGUGAUAAUUAGUUGAAGUUGUUAUAGCUAGCUAGAAUUAGUUUUGUAAUGAGUUAACUAAUUGAGCUUAGCAUCAGUUGUGUAUAUAAGCAUCUCUGUGUACAGUUUCAUAAGUAAGUUUUAGAUGAAUAAAAUCGUGUGAGCAAAAAGCUUUCAGUUCUUAAAUUUUCUCAGCUUCCAAACAUCCUUUUUCUGAUUUCUUACUUGGUAUCAGAGCUUUAAUGGCAUCUGUGAAUCUUGCCUCUUCCUUAAAUCAAGUUCAUAAUACCGCUGCACAUUCAACAACAGUCAAUUUCACUUUCAAUACUCCCGUUAAACUUGAUCAAUCAAACUAUUUGAUCUGGAGAUCUCAAGUGCUUGCUUCAAUUUGAGGAAAUAGACUUGAGAAAUUUAUCGAUGAGUCAAUCACUCCACCUCCUUCUCAUAUUGCUCAUAGAUAUGAUGAUGAGCUUAGAUCUGUGGAGAAUCCAGAAUUUGCAACCUGGAGAGCACAAGAUCAAAUACUUCUCGGUUGGCUUCUUUCAUCCAUGAGUGAAGGUAUCAUCAGUUUGGUGUUCAAUCUUGAGACUUCAUUGGAGGUAUGGAAAGCUGUUGAAACUCAAUUUGGAUCUCAAUCAAAGUCUAGGUUAUUACAUUUGAGAUAUUUGAUGAAUUCCACUAGAAAGGAUGAUCUUAAAAUGACUGAAUACUUCAUUAAAAUGAAAUCUAUUGCUGAUAACAUGGCUGCAGCAGGAAGUGCAUUAAGCAAUGAUGAUUUGAUUUUACAUGUACUCUCUGGUCUAGGUCCUGAUUAUAAUUCUGUUGCUACUUACAUCACUGGACAAGUAGGAACUGGAAAAAUGAAUGUUAAUGAGGCUUAUGCUAUGCUGUUAACUCAAGAGGCUAGGAUUGAUCAACAAACUCAUAUGCUUGCUAAUAUGGAUGUUAAACACAAUUUAGAAGCUAACUUUGCACAAAAUAGAGGACCUAAGAGAGGAAACUUCUCAGGAGGAAAAGGUUUUGGUAGUCUUGGAUAUAAUACAGGCUACAGUAAUGCUGGAAAUUCUGGAAAUAGUGGUUACAGAGGAAAUUAUGGAUCAUCUGGUUUUGCUGUUGGAAGUGCUGGAAAUAAUGGUUACAGAGGAAACUAUGGAGGAGGAGGAGGAGGAAACUGGAAUAAUAAUAAUGCUGUCAAUAAUGGCAAAACACCUGGAAAUCCUAAAUCUCAGUGGAAUCCUUCUAAGCCUACAUGUCAAGUUUGUCUCAAAAUAGGUCACACAGCUAAUGUAUGCUGGAAGCUGGAAGAAUUUAUUGCUUCAGGAGCUUAUAGACCACCUCCAAACAGGAAUCCGAAAUCUGCAUAUCUGGCAAACAUGGAAGGAUCAUCUGAUACAAAUUGGUACCUUGACAGUGGUGCCACUCACCAUCUCACAAAUGACAUGAACAAUAUGCAGAUUUCUGAAUCAUUUACAGGUACAUCUAAACUCAUUAUUGGUAAUGGUACUGGCUUGAAUAUUACACAUAUUGGAAAAGCUGUUCUGAGAUUGCACAACUGCACUGAUUCCACUGUGAUUAAACUAAACAAUAUACUUUUAGUUCCACAAAUAACCAAGAACCUUAUAAGCAUUUCUCAGCUAACCAAAGACAACAAUAUCACAGUUGAGUUUGCUGACAAAUCUUGUUUUGUGAAGGACAAGGUGAAGAAUUUGAUCAUACUGCAGGGCAAGGCUGAAAAAGGCUUGUACAGAUUGCUAUUAGUGUCCUCAAAUAAAACUUCUGCUCAGUCUUCCUUUCAAGGUCAUGUUGCCAAUAUUGAGUCUUCUUUUCAGUCUUUUGUUCCUUUGUCAAUGCUAUCAACUGUCAAUCUCAGUCAGUCAAAUAAUCACUGCUUGUAAAAUGUGGCAGCAGAACCUUGUAUGAACUCUAAGUGUCUUUUAAGCACUUCUGUAUUACAUCAGAGGCUAGGUCAUCCUAACUCUAAGAUCUUAAACCAUGUAAUACAAUCUUGUUCCUCUUUCAAACCUAUCAAUGGAAAUAAAGAGUUUGAUUCAUGUGAUGCUUGUAAAUUUGGGAAAAUGCAUAGAUUACACUUUCCAGCAACUGAAACAAAAACAAAACAACCUUUAGCCAUUUUACAUACUGAUUUAUGGGGACCAGCUCCAGUGGUUUCCACACAAGGUUAUAAAUAUUAUGUGAGCUUUGUGGAUGAUUUUACCAGAUUCACUUGGAUAUUUCCCCUGAAAACCAAAGAUGAAACUCUUCAUGUGUUCAAAAUUUUCAAAGCUCAAGUUGAAAAACAAUUAGAACAGCCCAUUAAAUGUCUUCAAUCUGACUGGGGAGGGGAAUUCAGAUCCUUUAGCAAAUAUCUUCAAGAAGAAGGGAUAGAAUUUAGACACUCUUGUCCUUAUACACAUAACCAAAAUGGUUUGGUAGAAAGGAAACACAGACACAUCACUGAAUCAGGACUUACUCUUCUUGCACAAGCUAAAUUACCUAUCAAAUUCUGGUGGGAUUCCUUUCAUACAGCAGCCUAUCUCAUUAACAGAUUACCAACACCUAUUCUAGCAAUGAAAACUCCAUAUGAAUCAAUCUUUCAUCAUCAACCAGACUAUAACUUUCUAAGAACAUUUGGAUGUUCUUGUUUUCCUUUUCUCAGAGAAUACAAUAACCAUAAAUUUCAUUUCCAUACUUCAAAGUGUGUCUUCUUAGGAUAUAGUCCUUCACAUAAGGGCUAUAAGUGUCUACAUUCAUCAGGCAAAAUUUAUAUUGCCAGUCAUGUAUUGUUUGAUGAAACCACUUUCCCUUACAUUUCAGAUCCAAAUUUUUCUUCCUCUUCUAAACACACUUCCUCUGAUUUUCAAUAUAAUCUUUUUCAAAGGUUUACUCUGUCAGUUCCUAAUAGCAUUCUGAACAGUCUUGAAGCUACUGCAGCAGAUCAAUUCCCUGUCAAUCAUUCUUUAUCAUCAAAUUCACCUCAAUCUCAGUCACCCACAAAUCAGACCUCUACAUCUUUGCCUUCACCUGCACCCCAGUCACCAGCACCACAAAUACCCUGCACAACACAAACAUCUCAGCCUAAACCUUCUACUUCCACCCAUCAUAUGAUAACCAGAGCUAGAGCUGGUAUUUUCAAACCAAAGACCUUUCUAACAACUCACAACAGCUUAGAACCAUCCACUGUCCCUGAGGCAUUAUCAGAUCCUAAAUGGAAAGAUGCAAUGCAAACUGAGUAUGAUGCUCUUAUUCACAACAACACUUGGACUCUUGUGCCAAUGUCUUCAACAUACAAGCUAGUUGGUUGUAAGUGGGUAUUCAGAACAAAGUAUAACACAGAUGGAACUGUCAGCAAGUAUAAAGCUAGAUUGGUUGCAAAGGGAUUUCACCAAACAGCAGGGGUAGAUUAUUCAGAAACUUUCAGUCCAGUGGUGAAGUCUUCAACAGUUAGAGUUAUACUCAGCUUGGCAGUUAUAAAAGGGUGGAAAGUCAGACAAAUUGAUGUAAAUAAUGCAUUCCUUAAUGGAGAUCUUUCUGAAAACGUAUAUAUGACACAACCAGAAGGCUUUGUAACUAAGGAAGGGUACAUCUGCAAACUCAAUAAAGCUCUCUAUGGUCUAAAACAAGCUCCACGAGCCUGGUAUGAAAAAUUGAAGGGUUGUCUAACUACUUGGCAAUUUCUUAAUUCAAAGGCUGAUACAUCUCUAUUCAUUAAACAUGAUACAAGGGGCUUAAUCAUAGUAUUGAUCUAUGUGGAUGAUAUUCUAGUCACUGGACCAGAUUCUGCUUUACUAGAGGAUUUUAUUGUUAAACUCAGUCAGACAUUUGCCUUGAAAGAUCUGGGAUUAGUUGCUUACUUCCUAGGUGUUGAAGUUAGUUACUUUGAUGAAGGUAUGCAUCUAUCUCAAACAAAGUAUAUUAAAGACUUGCUGAGUAAAGCAUCUAUGGAGAAUUGCAAAGGGUCUGAUACUCCUCUUAGUACUGGUUUGAAGCUAGAAAGAAAUGUCAGGGGUCCUUUGGGUCAGGAGUUCGAAAAUCCAACACAAUACAGAAGCAUAGUUGGAGGGUUACAAUAUCUAAUUCUCACCAGGCCGGAUAUAGCUUAUUCAGUUCAUAAGCUCAGUCAAUACCUCAGUUCUCCUACUGUUCAGCACUGGUUAGCCUGCAAAAGAGUUCUUCGAUAUCUCCAGUCAACCAUCACCUAUGGUCUCUAUCUCAGAAAGGAAGCAACUCUGGAAAUUGGAAUAACAGGCUAUACAGAUGCUGACUGGGCUUGUGAUCUUGACGACAGAAAAUCAAUUGGAGCCUAUUGUAUAUACUUGGGUAACAAUCUGAUUUCAUGGUCUUCCAAAAAGCAAGCUAUUAUAGCAAAGUCAAGCACAGAAAGUGAAUAUCGAGCCCUGUCAGCAGCAUGCUCAGAAAUUUCUUGGUUGCAGUCUUUAUUUUCAGAACUCAACAUUGCUAAACUACCUACUCCAGUUCUUUGGUGUGAUAACCAAAGUGCAGGGGAGCUAGCUCGCAACCCUGUGUUUCACUCAAAAUCUAAGCACAUAGAGUUGGAUGUUCAUUAUGUUAGAGACAAAGUGCUUGGAAAAGAAUUGGAGGUUAGAUACAUUCCUACUGAAGAACAAGUAGCUGAUGUUCUGACUAAGCCCUUAUCUUUUUCUAAAUUCAGCUUUUUUAGAUCCAAGCUCAAUGUCGUUAGUAGACCUUUGAGCUUGAGAGGGGAUGUUAAGGAAGCACACAUCAGUAGCAUAGACUGUAAAGCAGAGGAUAGCAGUAGCUCCAGCUUACAGUUAAGAGUUGAUGACAUGGCAUGCCAGCUGGCACCUGGUGGUUAUGUAAUCACUUGUUCACGUGAUAAUUAGUUGAAGUUGUUAUAGCUAGCUAGAAUUAGUUUUGUAAUGAGUUAACUAAUUGAGCUGAGCAUCAGUUGUGUAUAUAAGCAUCUCUGUGUACAGUUUCAUAAGUAAGUUUUAGAUGAAUAAAAUCGUGUGAGCCAAAAGCUUUCAGUUCUUAAAUUUUCUCAGCUUCCAAACAUCCUUUUUCUGAUUUCUUACUCUUACUACUCUCAUAUAACAACCUAUUAACGAGUUCGUUCUUCUCUUUUUGUCUACCAAAUAUCUCGGACUCAUCAAUUGAGGAGAUACUUGCCGGCCCUCGUUGAUCCGCUCUCUCAUUACUCUUGGUAACAUUCACAGCAAAACCAAACAUGGCUUUUUGUUUGUCAAUAUCAUCAAGAGUUUCAUUGAUGUCUUUCAUCUUGAGAGCAAUGCGACGACGUAAAAAAAUAGGUUUGCAGCCAAAGCAAGAGGCAGCAGGAAAGAAGGAACCUACCUUCUUCUUAGGAACGAGAGCAUCAUUCUCAUGAUCAUCCACCCCAUCGAUCUGCAGUUUGAGCCUUGCAGUGUUCCACUCACCCAACACAUCUUCCAUGUCGUAACAUGCGCAUCUGAGUCGAUCGAGCCAGAGUCUGACAGUUUCCUCCUUUACUUGCCUUUUCUCUGCAUCAUGGAGCACAGCUCGAAUGGCUUGGAGAUUGCUGGUCAGCUUCUUCGAUUCCUUUCCGACACCCGUUACAAGCCUCAAUUGUUCCUUCGCCUCUUCAACAGCCAUUGAGGUCAGCAGCUCCAAGAGAGGGGAAAUGAUCGCAUCAACCAUGGUGAAAAAGAAAAAUGAGAGAGAGAAGAAAUUGAUGGUGAGUUGUAGCAAAAGUAAGUAGCUAAUGCUGAAAGAAAUGAAGGAGCUGAUAAUGUGGUGAAAAUGUUGCCGUAUUCUUUCAAUUCUUAUAGUACUGCAAGCAAAAUUCUAAUUUAGAAAUAUUUCAUUUCAGCCCCUUGUGAAAGAAGCUACUGUUAUUAUUAUUACUUUUUUUUUUUUUUAAUACCAGCAAAGAGUGAAAAUGACGUACAGUUGUGGACAGGAAAUAAUAUAUUGUUAGGUCCUACAUCGGCGAUUCACGCGGUAUAUAAAGAAACUGACAAAGUUUUCUAUGAUCUCUUUUUAAAUAAUUGAACAAGUUGUUAGAUAAUAUGUAUGAUCGUGUCGUCAUAUUGAGAUUUGGAAGCAUUUAGUUGAAAUACCUUGACCAUCUCUUUCUUAUUUUCUUCUUCUUCUUUUCUUUUUUUUUAAAAAAAUUUGACUCGUUUGCAUAAUUAGUUGAAAGGAAAGAAUGAACAUACUAAUAAACUAGGAAAACGCUGCCACAUAAUAUUUUAAGAUUCAUAUCGAACCACUUUAUUUAGAUUUUGUCAUUUUAGCAGAUGUCUGAUAGUGGGAGUUUAGAGUUUAAUCUCUAACUUUGCUUGUGAAGUGUGAAAAAUCAAAUAAUCUUUUCAACUCGUUUUUCAACAAAAAUAGAUAACAAUUCAUCAUCAGUUAUUUCUCUUUAUGUAUAAAAUGAUCAAUCUAGAGCUGGAUAUUCACAUGUUUUUCUAUUUCUAAUCAUUUCAAAAUAUAAUAUGAACUUUUAAAAAAAAAUCAAAUUGUAAUAAAGUGACAUAAAUAUUAAAAAAUAAAAAUAAAAAGUCAAAAACGUAAUGCCGAAAAAAGACAAAACCUUUUUGUUUGUUCUAUUCAUGGCAUCUAAAUAUGAGAAAUGAUGGGUUGAUUGUCAUUGUGAACAACCAUAUUAAUUGCAACACGUGAAUACCAUCAAAGUUAUAAUAAUUUAUGGACCCAUGCACCUGUAUUUCUAAUUAUUCCGCGUAGAAGGCUAAAGUUUAAUGUGUGAUUCUCAAAUUCAUUGUCAAGUGAUUUGAAUGUUUUAACGAACAGUGCUUACUUUUCUUUUUGAAGGAGCACAAUAACAACUUGAAGAUUCCUGGAAAUUGCCUACAGCACAAAUAUUUUUCAAUUGAACAAAAACCAUCAAUAAUUUUCAAACUUAGAAGAUAUUUAUUUUUUUCCCCAUAACCCACCAAAAACUUUUUCAUUUAGUGUAACUUUGUAAUUUUCUUAGAUGAUACUUAAAACUGCUAAUAUCUUCUAAUUAUUGUUUUAAAAAUCUCAAUGAUUGCAUGCCCAAUUAACGGAUCAGUAAUCUCAGUUUGACAUAUUUAUUUAAAAAAAAGAAAUAUACAGAUUGUUUGAUGACUCUAGAAUAGAACAUCAGGAAAUGAAGAGAAAAAGUAACAUACUUUAUGACGAUCAUUGCCGAUGACAUAACAGAUGUAAGUAUUUAUUGCCAAUUAAUUGACAUUCUUAUCAAGUAAUUGUUUUAGACUUGAAUUCAAAAGCUCUACUCCGCUCUGCCCUUCGGUAAUUCCCCUGUUCAAAAAAUAAUAUUGUUUUAAAAAUCUCAAUAACAACAUGCCCAACAUAACAGGAAGAUUCGACUUUCUCAGAAGAACUACUUGAAAAAAAUCUUGCAACGCUUCAACAUGCAAGAUUGUAAGUCAAUUUCCACCCCACUUUCUGUCAAUUUCAAGUUAUCCUCAAGUAUGUGUCCUAGUAAUGAAGCAGAGAGGAAGGAGAUGUCUCGAGUACCAUAUGCAUCAGCAGUGGAAAGUUUAAUGUUCGCUAUGAUAUAUACUAGACCAGACAUUGCACAAGCAGUGGGAGCAGUCAGUCGAUACAUGGCGAAUCCUGGUGGAGAGCAUUGGAUAGUUGCGAAGAGGAUUCUAAGAUACAUCAGAGGAACCUCAGAUGUUGCAUUAUGUUAUGGAGGAUCAGAGUUUACUGUCAGGAACUAUGUGGAUUCAGAUUUUGUAGGAGAUCUUGAUAAAAGAAAAUCCACUACUGGCUAUGUGUUUACACUUGCGGGAGCAGCUGUAAGCUGAGUUUCUAAACUGCAGACCGUUGUGGCUCUAUCUACAACAGAAGCAGAGUACAUGGCAGCUACACAAGCUUGCAAGGAAGCUAUCUGUAUACAAAGGUUAUUAGAGGAGCUCGGGCAUAAACAAGAGAAAAUUUAUGUGUUUUGUGACAGUUAGAGUGCCUUGCACAUUGCAAGGAAUCCAGUCUUUCAUUCCAGGACAAAGCACAUAGGAGUUCAGUAUCACUUUUUUCGAGAAGUAGUGGAAGACGAAAGUGUGGAUUUACAAAAAAAAAUCCAUACGAAUGAGAACCUAGCAGAUAUUUUGACCAAGCCGAUCAAUGCUGGCAAGUUUAUCUAGAGUAAAUUAGGGAUGGCAAAAACCGGGUCCGGGUCCGGGUUUGGCCUUUCCGGUUCCGGACCCGGAUGCCAAUUCUCCUUCCCGGAUCCGGAUAUAAACCCGCAUUUUCUUUCUCCGGGUUCGGUACGGGUUCAACCCGGAAAAAUCUGGGUUUCCGGAUUACGGGUUUUGAACCCGAAAAGUUGGAGUCUGGAACAAUAAAGCCUUUGUGCAUGCCCCUUUUGACUCUGGACGAGUGGAUUAGCGGUUUAUUUGAGGUGUCGGUUGAGACACCGGCGAGUCCAGGAAGCAGCAGCCAUGAAAGCAGUGAGCAAGGUUUGAGAUCCAGCAUCCACGAACAAGAGAGAGAUGAGAUCGAGCGCCAACAAGAGUGGAUUAGCAGUUUCUUUAAGGUGUCGGUUGAGGCACCAGCAAGUCGAGGAGGUGGCAGCCAUGAGAGUAGCGAGCAAGGUUUGAGAUCCAGCAUCCAAGAACAAGAGAAAAAUGAGAUCGAAUUUGAUGAGAGAUGAGAGAUAAGGUUGAAUUUGAUGAUGCCAAAGAUUGUUUGUUGCUUUUGAUGAUGAUUGAUGAUGAAUUGACAAUUAUUUAAAUUGAUGUUGAGGAUGAUAUUGAUUGUUAUUAUUGUUGAUAAUGAAUUGACGAUGGGUGGAUGAUGAUGAAUUGAAUUGAUGUUGGGGAAGAGGAAAAUAAAGGUGGCGGCUAAGGUGGGGAUUUAGGGUUUCUUUUCGUUUCUUUCCUUUUUUUUUUUUUUACUUUUGGCUUUUAUAUUUAUAUUUAAUAAUAAAAAUUAAUUAAUUAAUAAAUUAUUAAUAUUUUAGUGCAGGUCCGGGUUCCUGGAAUCCGGGUUUGGUUGAACCCGCAACCGGACCCGCAUGUAUCCGGGUUUGAAAAAAUGCUACCCGGAUCCGCAUUUUUAUGCACCCGGGAUGGGUUUAACCCGGACCGGAUCGUCCGGGUUUAUCCGGGUUCGGGCCGGGUCCGGAAAAAUUUGCCAUCCCUAGAGUAAAUCCUCUUGUGGCCUAGCAGAAACGUAGGCAACAUGAUUAUGUCGAAUCAGAAAGGAUGGUGUGGAGAUUGAUUGAUUCUCAAUCUAAUCUCCAAGUGGGAGAAUGUUAAAGUCAUGGUUGGGAGGUGUCACCCAAAGAAAGAAACAAAAGAGAAAGAAGAAAAAGAAGAAAAAAUGGGUACCGGGCUAUAAAGGGCAAAGAAAAAAAAUUAAUAAAAUAAUAAAAAUAAUAUAUGAUUGAUGAAUAGUGCCAAAACUUUCUCUAUAAAUAGAAACGAAGAGAAUGAGCAAAUUCAUUUCAUCGAGAGAGAAGCAUUUCCUUCCUUUAGAGAGGUGAGAGUAUCAAGAGUUUAAUAAACUCUUGAGUGAUUAGUGUUUUGAGAGUUUGGGUGUAUUGGGAUUUUAGGUAGUGAGGUAAAAUACCACAAUACUUGUAACUCCUUUUCACUAGUAAAAUAUUUUUCUUCUUUUUCGCCCGUGGACGUAGGCUAAAAGUCGAACCACGUAAUUUCUUGUGUCCACUUUUUGUGCUUGUUCUUUGUUUUCUUACAAUUUCAUUUUAGCUGCGUGUUUGCUUCACUCAUCAAGUAAACAUCAUCAAUCAUUUUCGUUUUGAAUUAUGAUUUUUCAAUCCAAAAAGUAGAUGCCAGUAAAAGAGAGAGUUAAACUUGACUCACCCGCUUUUCUAAUUGUUCUGAUUUGUUGUAUAAUUUAUUCUAAAGUUAUUUUAUAAUUUAUCUAAAACGUAUAUAACACGUUCUCAAUUUUAUUACUAUAAACUUACGCUGUAUUGUCUAGUCUUAGUAAGUAACGACUCAAUUGGAUGUGGGAGGAUCCCUUCCGCUUUGACCAAAAAAACUGUUUCGAGGACAGUAUUCUAACUCAACUCAAGUGCUGAACAAAGAAAGAAACGCUGAGAACAUUAAUGAAAGUUAUCAUACAGAGCAAACAAGUCAAGAGUACACACAAGAGGAGAAAUAAUUAACACAAUUAUUUUACAUGGUUGAGUUUCUCUAAGCCCACGUCCACGAAGACAGACACUUGGCCAAGGAAAUAAUUGACCAAGGAAUUUACAAGGAAACUCUCUUUUCCAGAAGUUACAAGAGCCCUGACACUAUUCCUCUCGAGGUCUAGUUCAAGUCGCCCAAGCCUCUCAAGCUCCCUUAAGAACUCUGCUUUCUUGCUGUUCAAGAAAGCGCCUGAUUGGAAUCACAUGCUCCACGUGACAUCUGGCAUAACUAAAUCUGCUGCCGUACCCGGCCAAUUUAUGAUGCCACUUAUGAUACCCUGUCUCGUCAGCUUCCUUGCCCUGCGUCAUCAUAGGACCUUACAUCUUGGAACCUCCAUGAAAGCUGAAUCUCUAACAGCCCAUCAUAAAAGAUAGUAGUUUUAAAAUAUGGAAAUUACCAAAAAUACCUGCACAUUUUGAAAUUUGUCAAAAAAUGAAGAGUUGAAAGCAAUAGGAAGACGUAAUUAACCAACCAAUUUGAUUCCUCUGAUCGCUUUCAUCUCAGGACUCUUUGUCUUCCCGUGCGUCUUCGAUUCCACAGGACAAUCUUGGAUUGAAUUUAUACAUCAGAAGAAAAUAUCAAUAUGCCCAAAAUAAAAAGUUGCUUCCAGUGCAGAAAUAAGAGAAAUUGACACACCUUUUUCCACCACAGAAGAUGGUGUCAUAUAGAAGUAUUCUGUCGCAGACUUAACAUACCUAUCAAGUAAUUAAUAAUUCAAGAUAUAAUAACUCUUGACAAUUAUAUAUUCAUAUACAUGUUAGUAGCAUGAUGCUACCAAUAUUCGCACCUUUAGCAUUCAAACACUUGAUCAUUGAAAGAAUUUAAGAAAAAUGUUGUUUGGUUACUGAGAAAAUAUCUCAACAAAAUUUUCAGAGAACUUUCCGGAAUUCUUGCCUGUAUUUCACUUAAUGAAAAAUGUUAAAAUUACAUUCAAUUUAUAUUCGAUGCUUUAGCAUUACUAUAACUAACUCAGAACAUACUACACAUGCUUAACUACAGCUCAAUAUAUACAGAGUAAGUCAUAACAAACUUUUAACUACUUAUGCUGAGGUGGCAACUGAGCUGUUAUUCUGCUUAAUCAUCUGACGUCAACAACUUGCUGGUUUUCCUCAGCUUGAGCGUCUUCUUCCUUUCUGGACAAUGAGCUUCUUUAACAAUCAUUGAAGCAGCCUUUCUCACCAACCUAGCUCCGACAUUAAUCUAUAGAGUUAUCAAGACCGACAUUCGAUGACGUAAUUACACUUUAAUUGGAUUACAAAUAACAAACGAAUAAAACGGAGCAGCAGAAGAAAUUACCAUUGGCUGAUGGUUGUUGCAGGCGUUAUGAGAAUUCCUCAAGGGCUUCCUUUGAUCAACUUCCCAUUGGUCUCGAUGUUGGAAACGUGGGAUAUCUUAGGCCCUGUAUCCUUCUUGCAACGCUCUUCUGAAAUAGAACAUCUCCCACCUUGCCCCUGCCGAAGUUAUGAGUCACCCCUCAAUUUCAAUCGAAAUACUGCUCUGCCAUGCCCUUACACCGUAACGUAAUUACUCUGUUCAAAAAUCUUGCUUUGAAAAUCUCAGUAAUUGAACAUGCUCAAGAAAUCAGUCUCAGUUUGAUGCAUUACAAAAAUAAUCAACCACACAAUGGGCUGAUGAUUAUCUACAAUUGAAAAUUAGCAAAUGAAGAGGAGAGAGCAACUACAAAAGCAACAAUGUCCGAUUAAGCCGCUGAUACAAUCAAUCAAACAAUAAGAAAAGGAUCAACAACACAAAAAGCACACGCAAGGCACAAAGAUUUACAUGAUAUAUCCACAGGUGGUGAGCUGGUAUCCACUAUACGUGUGAUGAAAACAAGUGUAUAUAUAUAAAGAACACCACCACCUGUCUCCUCACAAUAAACCCCUAGAACACAAGCGCAAAUAAAAAUGAGCCAAUUCCUGCUCUGCUCUGCCGUCAUGUACGUAACUCCUCUGCUAAGAAAUAUUGCCUUAAAAUAUCGGUAGCAUUUGCAUGCAUGACCAGCAAAUCAGUUAGACAUAUAAAAUUAUCAACCACACAGGAAAUCAGCAAAUCAGUGGUUUCAUGAAUUUGUAAUAUUUGAACAUCAGAAUAUGAAGAGUACAGGGCAAUGGGAAAAAGUAAUUAACCAACCAAAUAAAUUUAAAUCCAAAUAAGAUAAGUAACGUAUGAAAGGAGGGUUGAAGCCCACCUUAGAAACUCCUGUCUAUGAAGGCCAAUAAAUCUCCUGCUAUCUGUUUGCUUAGAUCUUUAUGUAUUUCUAUACACUUUUUACUCUACUCUGUUGUUCAACCUUCUUUGGUUUUAUGUAUCUAUUUUAUGUGUAUUGAGAAGGCUAGUUACUAGGUGUCAACUCUUCUCUUUAAAAGAUAAAGUUUUGAGAAAAGGAAAGAAAAGACACCCACGGCCAACUACCUUGUCAUAUUUUGCAUACCAAAAUUGGAUAUUAAUUAUGGUCACUGUCUUCAACCUGCUAACCAAAUCCAAAAAAUUGGUCCUCCCGAUUGAGUAAGUGAGCCCUGAAAAGACAUUACCCAGCUUAAAAGCCAAAUGAAUGUAGACUUGUGAUUGGUGUAAUUGGUUUUAAAGAAACUAGUAUGCAUCCCCACUGAAAACCAGUAAAUGGAGUUGAAGAAGAUGCUAAUGUACCACAGCUAACAUAAACAUAAUUUGAUCAGCCGAAUGACUACCAAAUGAAAAAGCAACAUAAACUUAACAGAACUGUUAAGGAUUAAUCGAAGACACAUAUAUAUUUGUGCCAAUUUUCACACCUUUAGCAUUCAAACCUUGCUCUAGAACAACUGCUGUGGUCCGAUGCUGCAGGCAAAAAAUUUGACCUACGAAGCAGCCUCACUCACCAACCUAGCCCCAAAUAAAUUUUUUGAAAUGCCUUGAAAACCUUAACAUUAUAUCCAAAUAAACAUAACUUGUGUUUGUGGCGUAAUGAGAUUGCAGUGCAUUCGUAGAGUGUACACUUAUCUGCCAUUUCGUCGGAACAAAUUUUUUUUACUUCUCUUAAAAUUUGCAUAAUAAAUAGCAAUAUGGACAAGUACCUACUUAUGAAAAUGUUAAGAUAUUUUUACAUUUCUUCUUUUUUUUUUAAGGAGUAAAAGUGAUUAUUCAUUUUGUUGAUGCCCAUUUACUCUAUAAAUGCCACCAUGAUCACUGAGAUAUGUUCAUGAAUAAGCAUCUACCAUCAGAUCGAUUCGAAAACGGAAAGGAAUAGAGAAAUAAAAGGUGAAACAAAUGAAAUCAUUUAAGGAGAGGAACGAGAUUCCAUUGUCUGGUUAUAACUGGAAAUCAAGCAUGAAAAAGGAAUUGAUUUUUUUUUUUUUUGGUUGACAGAAUACACUUUCAACUAGAAAAAAAAAAAGAAAAUUUGAAUCUGAUAUUUAACAGAAAAUUCAAAUAAAAUCAAAUUCAUUUGUAAUUUAAGUUCAUUUCAUUCUUAAAAUUUGACAUAUAGAAUAAAAUUUAUAACUGUUUCAAAUACAAAAACAUAUUAUUAUUCAAAAUAAUAAAAAUUUUCAUGGCAAAAAGUUAAAAAAAUAAAAUAAAACUGUUUGACGUAGAAUGGAAUUGAGCAGGGAAAGUUUGAUGGAAGAUGCACACACUAGUUGUGGAAUUAUACCGUUAGUCAUUUUAUUAAAAAAAAUAAAAUAAGAAUAAAAAUCACCUCGUUGAAAGAUUAUUUGCUACGAUUAAAAAUUUUAUUUGGUGAGCAAAACGACGUAGGGUCCUCAAAAACCUCAUGAUGGUGCAUGUAUAUUCAAAGCUUCAUGACAUCAUAAUAAAAAUGUUUUGUAUUAUGAUGAGUCAUACGUUCACUUGUUGAACUCGACCCUCACAGCGACGGAGAGGACCAUUUGCUGUAUCCUCGAAGACUACCAGAAGGAGGAUGGUGUGUGUGGAAGUACCAGAAGAUCUGCAAUAUUGGAAAUGGUUCAGCCGUGAUCAUUGGCAAUCAGACAAGAUUAUUGGCAAUAUUGUAGGCUUGUGUCUUUUACCCGUUAGAAGGAUAACUUGUGCACUUAAAUUUGGCACAUCACUUGUUUGACAAAAUUACAAAGCAAAUGUGUAACUCGUGUACUCUUCCUUUUUUAUCAUAAUUUUUGUACUAUAAAUAUGUACCUGCAAAUAGUGAAAUAUACACACAAAAUCAAUAAUUUCAUGAAUUAUUCUUCUUCUAAUUUUUACAACCUUUCAUGGGUGGAAAGACUUUCCUGCCUUUCAAGGCCUUGCCAGCUGCUGAAGCCGAAGGGAAGAAAUCCAAGGCUUUUUUUAGUUCAUCUAUUAAAUCCCCAGAAACCAGUUGCAGAACUAGUGGGAAAUCAAAUAUUUUUUAGUGGAAACAAAUACGAAACUAGUCCUCAAAUUAUUGUGUAAUGCAUUUUGCAAGAAAUUUGAUAGCCUGAUUAUGUUAUCCACAUCUUGAACUUUUCAAGUUAUGACGUGUCGGGAUUUGUUGCUAAACCAUACAAUUAUGAAAUUUUGCAACUCAAUCUUGUAUUGUUGUAUUUCCUUGCUUUCAGUUUUCUUGAUCAGAACAAACAACAUAAAUAAUGAUGCUAUAUUAAAAAAAUUAAAAGAAUUUCACUCGCCCUUCAUUUGUUAUCAACAAUAUGAUAUUGCCUGGGAUCUUUCGGCUUAAUCUUCCAGUGCCCAUUAGCCAAACUUGCAUUCUCAGCGAUUCUUCUCCAUUUCUUAAUCCUUUUAUCCAUAUGCUUUGUUAAUGCACAGUACUGUUGCAAUUUCUUAGGCAUCGCGUCAUAAACUUGCCACCAUUUCUUAUGAGCUGAAUCACUGGCAAAUACAUGGAGACUCACCAUGUCCCAAUUGCAAUCAUAGUCCUUGUAACACAUCCAUGGCUUUAACCCCAGAUAAUGAAUUGCAUAAAGGCCAUCACCCACUUGAUGUUCCUUAUCGUCUUGCUUUGAAAACACCUUCAAAUUGUUGAUUCUCUUAGGCAACCUAUGCCACCAUGUGAACACUUUAUUAAGAAAUCCCUGGUCACCCCCAUUGUAUGACGAAACCUUAAAGCUUUUGAGCAUCAUAUCUUCAAACUUGCACAAUGAUGGCUCAAUCACCAUCACCCCAGAAUUGAACAACACUUUGUCAUUACCUGCUGCUGAUAAUUCAGGGUAAAAGAAGAACUCAUCGGUGUUUUUGAGUAUUAAAAGAUCAGAAUCAAUGAAGAUAACUUUAUCAUAUUCAAUGAGUUGCCAUACUCUAAGCUUGCUAUAAUUCCACUCAUUGUACGAAUCUUUCUUGGCAAAGGGGCUACGUAUGCGCGAAAUCCACUUGGUUUUCCAUCCGGCAGCUCUCAGGCCACGGAGAGACUUGCCACUUAUUGAUUUAUCAUGAAGGAGAACGAGAUCUCUAGUCGAGUUUUUUUGGAUUAUGCUUUGCGCUAAAGCUAUUGCACCACAUACAUAAGCUUCUGAUGAAUGUAGAACUGUUACAUAAGCUUCUCUUUGAUGGUACGUUGUGUAGUUCAGUUUUGCUAGUCUUGCUUGUGACAUAAAAUAUCUCCAUAUUUCUUUGCCUGUAAAUCAAAAUAAAAGCACUCAAAUAUUAAUUUUAGGUUAAUUUUGCAAAAUUAAGAAAAAUGAAUUACGUAUGAAGGUUUGAAGAAGUCGUGGUGUCCGGAUUAGGUAAUACUUUCACGGAAAUUGAAAGUGCAAUUGUCUAAUGCCACAUAAGUCUUAAUUAGGAAAUUGAUUUAUGUUGGCUGAGUUACCAAAUUUUCACACAAUCAGAAUCAUGACUGCUGACUGUAUACAUUCUGUGUCCGUAGAUUAUUACAACUCUUUAAGGAUAUCAAAAUUGAAGAACCCGUCAAAUUUAAACCAAUUACACAUGUGCACGAGUUGUGCAUAUUUAAUUUGGAUGUCUCAUUUAUUAAUGCUGAACGAAUAAUUUACUAAAAUUUGAAACUAAAGAAAGCAGUAAAUUAAUGACCCACCAUGACCAAAUAAAUCACGCACUAACCUUUUCUUUUUUUCUUUUUUUUUUUCCUGAGAACACCUCAAAUUUCCGAAGAAAAAUUAAAUAAAAUCUCCUGCAUCCAUCUCUUGUGAACAUUUUAUAUUUUUUUAUAUGCAACAAGCUUUCAUUAAAAUUUAAGAUUCUAUCUCUAGAAUAAACUCCAAAACAUAUCGAUUAAAAUAACAAUAAGAGCUUAAAUACUACUUCGUAAAUAAUCAAGAAAUAUGACAAGCAACAAGAACAACAACUACCAAUUCAUAAAGAUUUUUACGAAAUUUUAAGUCAAAUUUUAAUGCAUAAUAACAUUGUAAAAUUCUUGGAACUGAGUACAAACAGUAAGUUAGCAUUUGGUUAGAAAAUUGUACAGAUUUUCUUCUUCAAGUGAUAUGACCAAAUUUUCUUCAGUUUCCAAACUACUCGCCAAACAAACAAAAUGUUUUCGAGAAACCAGGGAAAAAAAAAAAAGAAGCAAAACUCACCAGUUUGAGCAAAAGUAGGAGCAAUUUGGCAUGACCCAACAGGCAUCAAUACUUUAUGUUUCAAUCUCCUCAAGUCAGGUUUAUAAACCCAAUAAUCCCCUGCAUGCUCCACAAGAUCAUCGCACCUGAACAUCUCCACCAUGGCCCCACAAGAACCCACAAAGACAACGUACACCGCCCGAUCAACAUCAGGUUUCAACCACCCACUCUCCACCGCUAGAUUCGCCACCACGAGAUUCACUUGCAACCUAAACACAUCCCUCAUCCCACCACCUCCUUCUCCGUCCCCUCCGCAGGGAAUCCUAGCCACUAUCACGUCGAGGUACCGGUAAUCCUGCGCCGGCAUGGGUAUAUCCGGGCACGCCGGUGGGGCCCACUUGUGAUCUUCAUCAAUCCACUCCGGGAAAAAGUCUUCCCAUUUUUUAUCCUCACCCACAUGGUCGAAACGUACGUGAACAGUUUCAACAUGCAUGUCACCACGUACGCUAUUAUAAUCAUCAUCGUCGUCGUCGUUUAUAUUUACUAAACCAACUUUAAUUUUGUGACCGUUGAUAUGUUUUUCGACAAUAUCGAGCCAUUUGGGUCUGUGUAAUAAGUGGUUAGUAUUAUAUUUAUUAUUUGGCUCGUAAGCGAAAUGGGGUUGUUGUUUAGGUUUGAACGACAAAACGACAAGGAAAAGCGAGAAGGAGAGGAGAAGAAGAGAGAUUAUGAAGAGCUUUUGACUGAAAUUUGUGGGUUUGUUAGAAGAAGAUGGUGAUGAAGCUGCAGCCAUUUGAUUGAAUUUUGCUUCACGUCUUUGUUGAAAGUUGAAAGAUUUGUUUUGAGUCGACGUUUUGUUUUAAGUUAUAUCCAACGCAUCGAAUUGGAAUGAAAAGAAUCAAAGAUUGCAUUGCAGCAUGUUGAGCUUUGUCAAAUUGUCUUCUUAUGUGUAGGUAUUUUAUUUUCACACGCAUUUGAUGCGCGUGGGUAGGUUUACUAAAUGUAUUUCUUUUAUUAUUAUUAUUAUUAAGAUUAAAAUAUACUUCUAAGUUGUCAAAUUAGGCUUCUGAUAUCCUAUAUAACAAGGCAACAAACAUAAUAAACUUGUUACUUGUUAGAGUGCAAUUUAUGCACUAGUUUUGCAUUGUUUACUUCCCUUAAUAUCGAUGUUUUGCACUUAAUAAUAAUGUUUUACUUGUGUUUUACUUUUGUAGGUGCAAUUCUAUUGAUUGAUGAUAAAGUUGAGCUAAAAGAUGAUGUUUAAGGAGGAUUGUUCUCUUGGAGAAAUUAUGAGCGUCAGAAGAACUUUGUUGAUAAGGCGUGGACACGUGCUGUCAACUGCGGACCUGCAGUUUUUAGUUUAACGUGUUUUGUAUUUUUGGUUAUUUUUGUAAUUACGAAUUUAAUAUUUCAGAUAUUAGUAUUUUAUUUUAAAUAGAAUUCUAAAAGAGAAGAGAGAGAGAGUAUUUAAGGGAGGAAUCUAUUGUGAAAAAGGGGGAUUUGGAUUGGAGAAAAAGAAAGAAACCCUAGAUCUAAAUUUUUCUCUUCUCUCUAUGAAGAACUAAACCUAUUUUUCUGGUUGAAGGAUAAUGAAGCUUUGAUUCAUCACUACUGUGAGAUCUUUCUUAUGCUUUAAUUGUUUUAUUGCUUUUUGGGUAUUUGUUUAUUCUCUGAAUUAUUUUCAUGAUUAUGUUUGUUAAUUAGGUAAUUGGCCACUAUUUAAUUAUCAACUUAAUCUAUUGUCAAUUAAAGGAUUCAUCAUAUGAAGAAUUUAAUGUUUGUGACAAAUAACAUAGCAGAGAGUUGUGUUGUGAGAAUAAACAAUCUAAUUUAAAUGAAUCAUCAUAUGUGUUGAUUAGGAUUUGGGUCUCUCUGGUUUUUUAGGCUGUCAAUUGAUUAAAUCCUAUGAUCGUAUCUAGGGUUGUCUAUUGAUUAGGGAAAUAAUCAACGGUCGUACCUUGGUUAUCGACUAGUUAAGGAGAGAUUGGCUAUUAGAGGGUCUCAAUAGCUAUAACCGGUCUAUUCAUAAGUAAUAAUAAUCUAUAUUUGAAUUAAUGAUCAGUAGUCGAAUCAAGCUGAGUUAAUUCCUUCAACCAGAGCUUUCUCCAAUUUGAAUUACAACUUUAAUUUGCAUUCUUGUUAUUUUUAAUUUGAUUUUUAUUAUUGUCAACAAUUCCCCCAUUUUACGUUUUACGUUUCAAAAGGAUUUAAAUAAUUACCGAUCUCUGUGGACACGACCCUGCUCAAUCACUAUAUACAAUUUAUUUAGAGUAGGAAUUUAUUUUUGUUGGCUUCGACAAACAUCAAAUUUUGGCGCCGCUGCCGGGGAUUGGUGUCAUUUAUUUAAUCAUUUUUACGUUUUACUUGGUGUAUGGUUCGUUCUUCUCGUACAGGUACACUUUCAUUUGAUCCUGAAAUUGAGAAGAUAGCUCGCCAGCUGAGACAGCAGACGAAGCGAGCUAAGCAACGAUCAUCGUCGUCUUUGCUUUCUGAAAUAGAUACAGUACCUGAUUUAGUUGAAUCAUCUAGCGAUUCAGAAGAACAAGUGAUGGAUAGACCUGCACCUGUAGAAAGAACUCUUAGAGAGUUAGCUAAACCAGACUUGAAUCAACAACCACUCUGCAUUCAAUAUGUAGAUUUGGAGGUAAAUUUUGAAUUAAAGUCUGGUCUUAUUCAUUUAUUACCCAAGUUUCAUGGUUUUGCAGGUGAAGAUCCUCAUAAACAUCUUAAGGAGUUUCAUGUUGUGUGCUCAAGUAUGAGGCCACAAGGCGUGACUGAAGAGCAGAUUAAGCUGCGUGCUUUUCCGUUCUCUGUAGAUGGGCUAGCUAAAGAUUGGUUAUACUACUUGCCUCUUGGAUCGAUUACAACGUGGAAUGGUUUGAAGAAGCAGUUCCUUGAGAAGUACUUUCUCAACUUCCUGGGGAGACUUUGUAUGAGUAUUGGGAGCGAUUCAAACAAUUGUGUGCCAGCUGUCCUCAGCAUCAGAUUUCUGAUCAACUUCUUAUUCAAUUUUUUUACGAAGGACUGUCAUUGAUGGAUAGGAGUAUGAUAGAUGCUGCUAGUGGAGGCGUGUUGGUGAACAAGACCCCUACUCAAGCAAGGGAGUUGAUAUCAAAUAUGGCUGCCAACGCACAACAAUUUGGCAGCAGGCAAGAUCUCACUUCAAGGAAGGUGAAUGAGGUAAAUAUUUCUUCUGUUGAACAACGUUUAGAUAAACUUACUUCUCUUGUGGAAAAGUUUGUUGUAGGUAAUGUGCAACAGGUGAAGACUUGUGGCAUUUGUUACAAUAUGGGUCAUUCAACUGAUAUGUGUCCUACACUACAAGAAGAACCCGUUCAACAAGCCAAUGCAGUUGGAGGAUUUCCAGGCAUGCCUCAGAGGAGGUAUGAUCCUUAUGCACAAACAUACAAUCCGGGAUGGAAGGAUCAUCCCAACUUCAGCUAUGGAGUUAGGCAAUCAAGAUUCUCACAACAAUAUCCACCAAGACAACCAGCACCUCCACAGUCAAACUCCAAGUCAGGUAUAUCUCUUGAAGAAAUUGUUAAAUCACUUGCGACUAACACUCAACAAUUUCAGCAGGCAACUACAGCAAGCAUUCAGAACUUGGAGAACCAAAUGAGUCAAUUGGCAACUACAGUGAGCCGUCUGGAGUCUCAAGUAUUAGGGAGAUUGCCUUCACAAUCUGAGGUGAAUCCAAAGCAAAACGUUAGUGCUAUCAUCCUUAGAAGUGGGAAGGAGUUGCAAGAGCCUAGUAAGAAAGUGACAGAGCAUGUAGAAGAUGAGCUUGAGAAGAAUGAAUUGAUGCCUCAAUCUCAAGAUGAACAACCCACCAAAGCGAAACCCCUACCUAUUGUGAUACCUCCUCCUUUUCCAAGCCGGUUUGCAAAAUCCAAGAAGGAGGAACAAGAUAAAGACGUCCUUGAGACUUUUCGCAAAGUUGAGGUAAAUAUUCCUUUAUUAGAUGCUAUAAAACAAAUACCUCGAUAUGCUAAAGUCCUUAAGGAACUGUGCACCUCUAAGAGAAAAUUAAGAGGAGAUGAAAAAGUUCACAUGGGGGAGAAUGUUUCAGCAGUUCUCCAAAAGAAACUACCUCCUAAGUGCAAGGAUCCAGGUAUGUUUACUAUCCCUUGUAAAAUUGGUAGUGUUAGAAUUGAAAAGGCUUUGUUAGAUCUAGGAGCUUCUAUUAAUGUCAUGCCUCGUUCCAUUUAUUCAUCUUUGAAUAUUGGUCCAUUAAAAGAAACUGGCGUGAUAAUUCAACUAGCUGAUAGGUCUAAUGCAUACCCUGAUGGGGUAUUAGAAGAUGUCUUAGUACAAGUUAAUGAGUUGGUUUUUCCUGCUGAUUUUUAUGUACUUGAUAUGGAAGAGGAUAACUCCUCUAAUUUUGUCCCAAUUUUGCUAGGAAGACCUUUUCUUAAGACUGCUAGGACUAAAAUGGAUGUACAUAAAGGGACUCUCACUAUGGAGUUUGAUGGAGAGGUUAUAGAAUUCAAUAUGAAUGAUGCCAUGAAAUAUCCGAGUGAGGAACAUUCGGUAUUUUCUGUGGAUGUUAUUAACUCUAUAGUACAGGAAGUUUUUUACAAGGAAAAAACGAAGACAUUUCAUGAUAGAAUGAUUUUAAGAAAAGAGUUAUCUAUUGGUCAAAAAGUUCUUCUUUUUCAUUCUAAGCUUAAACUUUUUCCGGGUAAAUUACGUUCUUGCUGGGUUGGACCUUUUAUUGUUACUAAUAUUUUUCCUCAUGGUGCAGUUGAGAUUCGGAGUCCGACUUCUGACAAAGUUUUUAAGGUUAAUGGUCAUCGCUUAAAAACUUUUUAUGAAGGUUUUUCGGUGAAUAUUGUAGAGGAUGUGGCUCUCGAGAGUCCCAAUUAUGGAGAUUGAUGCAUAAAUGUGUCUAGCCAAAGACAUAAAACAAAGGCGCUUUUUGGGAGGCAACCCAAAUGAUUUAUUUAUUUUGGUUUUUGUUAUAUCUUCUUUUAAUUUUGAUUCAUAUUUUUUUUAAAUAAUGUGUUUGCUUAUUUUGGUCAGAAGAAAAUUUUUGAUAAGGCGUGCCCACGUCUUAACUAAUAAGUACUUCUGUGAUUUUUAAAGUAAAAUGGUUUUAAGGCGUGCCCACGUGCUUAUUAGAAAAGUACUUCUGAAAUUUUUAGUGUUUCAAGUGAUUCAUCACUAAAAAAAAAAAAAAAAAUUGUUUUCUUUCGCAGCAACAGCCGCUCUAGCCUUCACCGAGCAGCCCGUGCGCAACUAUCUCACCAUUUCCGCCAAGCCCAUAGACGUUAUGAGGAUCAAAGCUCACAAUUCAGGGAAGUUUUUGCCUUUAAUCUUUUAUCCUUACGAUUUAAUUUUUAUGUGAGCUUUGAUUAUCUUACAUUGGGGACAAUGUAAGUUCCUGGUGUGGGGGAGGGAUUUUUGCAUUAUUGAUGUCUGGAAUUAUUAUUUUCACUCUGCUCAUCUAUUUUCACUCUACUCAUCCUUAAAUGAUUUUGGAGUUAGUAUGCUUCAUAUAUUAUUAAUUUUCUUUUCCUUUCUCUCUCACUACUCUUUUCCCAUCUAUCUCAAAUUAUUUACAUCUAUUUUUUUUUUCUCUAUCAUACUCUUUCAUCACUCACAUUUUAUCUUUCAUUUUUUUUAAUACAUACAUCUUUCUCGCUUAUUAUCCUUUUUACCUUUCCUUUUAUAUCUCACUCAUACCUUCUUCUCAUUCUACACCACUAUUGAUGGUUGAUUCAUUUGAAGAGUGUACAUGAUUUGAUGGCAAUUUUACCAACUUUGUGAGGAUUUGAGCCUAUGAGCAACCACUUUGCUCUAAUUAUUUUUGUUAUGUGAAUAUCAUUCCUAGUUUGUUUAUUCUAGAACUUGCUUUGUUAUGCAUGUUGAAGCCACAUUACGGGAUUUUAUGCAUUAAAAUGAUAAGGGCAAACCAUUUACCAUUUUUCUAUUCUCGCAUUUUCCUUUUUCUCUACCUGAAGACCUUUAUUUGCUACCUUUGUUUGAGCCUUACCCAUUACCCAUCUAAUUCUCUCCGUCUACUUAACCAUUUUUCUUCUUUUUGAGCCUCAAUUUAAGGAGAUUUUUGGACUCAUUGUGUGGAUAUAUUUUGUUGCUUUUUCUACCUUGUAUUAAAGUUUCUCAAUUAGAUCAACAAGCAUUAUGCUUGAAUUAAAUUGUGCAAGGUUCGUUUCUUUUGUUUGAUUCAAAAAAAAAAAACAAAAAACAAAAAAAAACAAAAAAAAAGGAAAAAGAAAAAAAAGAGAAAAAAGAAAAAUCGAAAAAAAAAAAGUUUACAUUCUUGGUGACUUGAGUAGAAAUAAGCAUUUUGAUAUCAUAAGUUCAUUCAAUGAGUUCAUUCUUCUCGUUUUGAUCUCUUUUUCUUUCGUAAACCUUUCUUUUUCAUUUAACCCCAUUACAAACCUUUUAAGACCCUUAUAUUUUUGCAUUUUAUUCAUGUUUUGUGGAUUGAGAUGUGAUAUAUGAGCAAGCUUAUGGUAAUAGCAUUCUUUGAUUUGAUUUGAGUGCAUAAAUGAUACCCUAAACACUUUGAGUGCAUGGAGUGAAGUUAUUGAGAGGGCUAUUAAAUCUUGUUGCACUUGAAUUUUGAAUGGAUCUUCUUGGUGGUUGAAUGUUCUUAUUCUAUCUUAUGAAAUUCUAUGCUUUAAAAUCCUUGUCUCUUGAAUGUUGAUCGACUUAAUUUCUUGAGGUAUGCUUGCUUAAAAUUGUUUUUGGAUGAGUUGAGAUGAGAAUUGAGUGGAGAUUUGAGAUUAAUCUUGAGUUAUAUGCUUGAGGACAAGCAUCAUCUUGGUGUGGGGGAAUUUGUUAGAGUGCAAUUUAUGCACUAGUUUUGCAUUGUUUACUUCCCUUAAUAUCGAUGUUUUGCAUUUAAUAAUAGUGAUUUACUUGUGUUUUACUUUUGUAGGUGCAAUUCUAUUGAUUGGUGAUAAAAUUGAGCUAUAAGAUGAUGUUUAAGGAUGAUUGUUCUUUUGGAGAAAUUAUGAGCGGCAGAAGAACUUUGUCGAUAAGGCGUGGGCGCGUGCUGUCAACUGCGGACCUGCAGUUUUUAGUUUAACGUGUUUUGUAUUUUUGGCUAUUUUUUUAAUUACAAAUUUAAUAUUUCAAAUAUUAGUAUUUUAUUUUAAAUAGAACUCUAAAAGAGAAGAGAGAGAGAGUAUUUAAGGGAGGAAUCUAUUGUGAAAAAGGGGGAUUUGGAGAUUGGAGAAAAGAAAGAAACCCUAGAUCUAAUUUUUCUCUUCUCUCUAUGAGGAACUAAACCUAUUUUUCUGGUUGAAGGAUAACGAAGCUUUGAUUCAUCACUACUGUGAGAUCUUUCUUAUGCUUUAAUUGUUUUAUUACUUUUUGGGUAUUUGUUUAUUCUCUGAAUUAGUUUCAUGAUUAUGUUUGUUAAUUAGGUAAUUGGCCACUAUUUAAUUAUCAACUUAAUCUAUUGUCAAUUAAAGGAUUCAUCGUAUGAAGAAUUUAAUGUUUGUGCCAAAUAACAUAGCAGAGAGUUGUGUUGUGAGAAUAAACAAUCUAAUUUAAAUGAAUCAUCAUAUGUGUUGAUUAAGAUUUGGGUCUCUCUGGUUUUUCAGGCUGUCAAUUGAUUAAAUCCUAUGAUCGUAUCUAGGGUUGUCUAUUUGAUUAGGGAAAUAUCCAACGGUCGUACCUUGGUUAUCGACUAGUUAAGGAGAGAUUGGCUAUUAGAGGGUCUCAAUAGCUAUAACCGGUCUAUUCAUAAGUAAUAAUAAUCUAUAUUUGAAUCAACGAUCAGUAGUCGAAUCAAGCUGAGUUAAUUCCUUCAACCAGAGCUUUCUCAAAUUUGAAUCACAACUUUAAUUUACAUUCUCGUUAUUUUAAUUUGAUUUUUAUUAUUGUCAACAAUUCCCCCAUUUUACGUUUUACGUUUCAAAAGGAUUUAAAUAAUUACCGAUCUCUGUGGACACGACCCUACUCAAUCACUAUACACAAUUUAUUUAGAGUAGGAAUUUAUUUUUGUUGGCUUCGACACCCAUCACAACUAUCUAAGACUUAUAAAUUCUUAAAAACUCUUUCUCUUUGUAUAUGGUAAGGUAAGAAAUUUGAGAUCCAUCUUUAGUUCGAAAAAAAAUUAUGUCCAAACUCAAAGUCUUUCCUUAGUGAAGCAAAGAAAUUCGUACCAACAAUAUGAUCAUAUAAGCAAAUUAUUCGUGACCAACAAUAAGAAAAUUAUGUAUCAUACAUAAGUCAAUAAUGAGAUUUUUUAAAAAAGUUAAUUAUAGUAUAAUUGAAUGGUAACUUAAUUUUCUCCUACCCAUGUGAGCUAAGUGGUACAUAAGAAUGAGAGUUUUUUGAAUAAUAACAAAAAGUGUAAUAAAAUAUACUUAUCUAAACUAAACGCUGCAUAAAAAUUUCCUUUUAUAUACUACUCUCUCUCCCCCCCCCCCCCCCCCAACAAUCUAGGUAUUUUUUUAAAGUUCAUUUUUUAAAAGAUUGGAGAGUGGAUUAAAUCUAAAUCGAUUUUUUUUAGCCUUUACCUCCCUUAAAAUUCAAAAUCUAUUAGCUAGUUAAAUAAAAGUACUUGAAAAUUAUUUGACUAAAUCAUUGAGGGCAGAAUUUAGACACUGAUAAAUAGUUAAAAAUUUCAAUUAAAUAUGAUCAUCUAUUGGCAUUCUUAAAGUUCCGUAAUCACAGCCAGUACAAUGGUUCUAUCAAAUGAAAUAUUUCUAUCCAAAAUCAAUUUCUUUUUUAUCAUAUGGAAUUAAUCGAUUUGGAAUUGUGGAUUUUUAAUAGAUAUAAUAAAUACCCCAAGUAUGGGUGCUUUUCCAAUCAGGGAUCCCUGACUUUAAUAAAGUCAGGGAUUAGCUAAAAGAUAAAAAAGUUUAAAUUUUACUACACUACAUGAUAAAAUACAGUUUAUUGAAGUAUGUGUUUAUUUUGUCUUUUAGCUAAUCCCUGACUUUAUUAAAGUCAGGGAUCCCUGAUUAGAAAACUACUCCCCCAAGUAUUUUGAUAAUAUUCUAUAAUUAUCGUUGAGUUAGUGUGUGGCUUCGGGUCACCGUCAUGAACUUGGUCAGUCUAACAAAUAUAACGUAACCCAUGGUAUCAUCAAAAUAUGUGCAACGUUGCUCAGUAGAAACCAAAUCAGAUUAGGGAAAUUAUCUCUGUUGUCUUGGUCAAUCUUUUGUGACUUCAUCAAUAGACAUAACAUGUAGCCACGCCACAAUUUUUAAUUUUAAUUGGAAUGCUUAGAAGUCUAUUAAAAAUUAUAAUGUAACCUAACUAAGAAUAAUAUCAAUUUUUCUAUUUUAAUCUAAUAUUUAAUUAAACUAUUGCCAUUAUUGCACUUAGUCAUGGCUCAUAUGUGGAUCCACUAAUUGUUUCGCACCGUUGAUUGAUUGAGGGACGGUCAAGAUUUGAUUAAAUAUUGGAAUUGGUAUGCGAUCUCAUUAAAGUUGACUUCUAAAAUUGCAUUCUCAAUUAUUCAGAUUUAAAAAACAAGAAUGAUAAUAUGAUAGUUACGUUUUAAUAUUCUACGUUUGAAAUAUUAUGUUUCUUCUCAAAGCUGCAAAUCUCAUUUACAUUACCUGGUCAAAGACUUCUUGACAUAAAUUAUUUAUGCUAUUAAUUCAGUUAGUUAAGGAUAUACUUUAAAUGAUAUGACAUUUAAUCAACCAACGAUACAACAUAUAUCGAUUUAAUAUUAAGAUAUCUAAACAUAAUGAGACGACAAGAUCAAUACUCAACAUACAAUUUAAUUUUAAUACAAUUUCUUUCAUAAAUAUUGAUACAAUAAUAUUGAAUCAAUGUCAUGUCACUUGGCUUACUUUAUUUACUUAUUACUUAACUCUUUUAGUACCUAUACGUCACUCAUUAAACUCGUAUAUAUUUUGUAUGCAUCGAAUUAUUGAGAAUAGAAUUCACAGAGUUCAACUCUUGUGCAUGAACUGAGGAUUUCUCUAUUAAGUUUACUUGGAUAUGAUUAUAUUUUUGUUCUCUAAUUAUCAUUUGUUUUCAUUUUUUUUCUAUUACAUAUGAUUUUCAUUAAAUCACAACUCUAGUUGGCAUUUCACAUCACCCGCAAUUGAUUAGUUGCUUUCUAAUCCAACAAAAUUAAUAUGGAAAGAAAUAAAUGGCAACCGAUAAAUAUUCCAACAUUAUGUAUUACGCUGAAGAUUAAGCCAAUCCCACUACUACAAAACUGAAUUUCUUUGACAGAAUGCUUUUUCACAUGAUCAUGUAUGUGUCAAAGUUUUGUGACAAAUAUAUUAUUUUGCUGAUGUCGCAAACACAAUCCUUUCAAAAUCUUUAGAGGCCUUGAAAUUUUGAUUAUCUAUAAGAGAAUAGUUACAAAAUUCUGUCACUAAUAGUAAGUUAAGUGAUUCUUGAUAGAAUACUAUCAAAACAUUUAUAUAAAAUCUCACAUUUUAAUAUUUUACAAAAAUGUGUUUUAAAUAUUUUCAUUUUUUUGACAUAAUUCUAUCAAUGAACUUUCUUUUUAAAUUUUUAAUUCCACUUAGGCAUUGAAAAUGACAUAGUUUUAAAAGAUUUCAAUGACUUAACUGAUGUGAAUAUAUCUUUAAUAAGUCAACGACAAAAUUCUAUCAAAUAAAAUUCAUCACCUUAUCAGAUAAACAAAGGCCUGCUCAACCAAUAAGAAUUUGCCAUCUAAAGAGUUUAAUGGGUCUUUCAAAAAGCCUGACUUGAGUCUGAGCUUGAGUAUUUCAGGUCUAAUCUAAUAAGCAAGUUUAUAAAUUAUAAAUUUAUGAAAUACAAUGAAAAAGGUUUAAAAAAAAAAGAAAAAUGUUUUAAAAAAUUAAAGUAUAAAUAUGAGGUUUUACAAUUAAAAUAUCAAAUAGUGGCAAAAUGAGCGCCCAAAAAGUGCGGCAAAUUAAAAUUAUUCAAAAUUUAUCUCUUCAAUCCCUUUUUUUUUUUUAUUUUAGAGGGAAAAUUUUUUUAUGUACCACUGAAAUAAAAUUAACCCAAAAACAUUCUGUAAUUGAAAGCUUGGAACGAAUUUCACGCCUCUCGCCUUCUCUUUCACGCAUUUCGCAUUCCAUUUUCGCAUUAACACAUAAAAGGAGACACAAAUGGAAUAAUUAGAGAGAGGGAUGACCGGAUGAGAUUCCAUUUAUUGUUUGGUUAUAAAAUAAUUGAGUGUUUUUUUUUUUUUGUUAACUUAAAAAUACGUAUUUUUUUGUAUUUGAUAUUUAAUAGAAAGUUGAAAGUAAAAUCAAAUCCAUUUGUAAUAUAAGUUCACUUCAUUCAUAAAAUUAAACAUAUAGAAUAAAAUUUAUAAAUGUUACUUAUACAAAUACAUAUUACUAUUCAAAAUAAUAAAAAUUUUGCAUUGGAAACAAUUUUGAAAAAAAAAAUAAAAGUUUUUAAUGGAGAAAGGAAUUGUGGAGGGAAAGUUUGAUAGAAGAUGCACACUAGCUAGUUUUGGAAUUAUACCGUCAGGCGUCAGUCAUUUUAUAAAAAAAAAUGGAAAUAAUUUGAUCAGCCACCCGAGCUUUACUUCAGUGAUGCAUGUAUAUUCUAAGCUUCAUGACAUCAUAUUAAAAACGUAUUGCUAAGGUAAUUUGAAAUUCGUUUUAUCCAAUGAAUGUUACAUUUACUGGUAUGUUUAAUAUUUUGUUUUGGUUAAAAAUUUUGCUAUCUAACAGCUAAUAACUGAAUUUGACUCAUUUUUAUGUAAAUUUUAUAGACCCACCGAUUCACCAUUUUUAUGUUAUAAUCAUUGUAGGCAUGUUAUUUUUAAAUUAUGACUCCAUGUGAAACCAAAAUUUAAAUUUCACCAUCUUUUAUAGAGUUUGGUUAUGAUAAUCAAAUAAUACAAUAAACAAACACAAGGCAAAAAAAUUUACGUGGUUCGACGUAUUAAUUAAUAUGUCUACAUCCAUGGGUGGUGAUACCGAUAAGCCACUAUAUAAUGAAAAAGUGUACAAAUAAUAAUAAGCUCUCAGAUGCACCAAAAAAUUCAACAUUAUGUAUUACAUGCUCUGUCAUACCCUCCGCCCACAACAAACUCUCUCACCCUCCGAAGCCUGAUUAAUUCCCCAAUCCCUGCCGGCAAGUAUCUUAAAGAAUCAGUCCCCUCAUUGUGUAAAUACAUCAGCUUUCUUAACUUCCCAAUCCCUCGAGGUAAUUCUCUAAGAUUUUCACAAUCAUCAACGUUUAAACGUUCUAAAUUAUAUAACUCACACAACGUCUCGGGUAAUUUUUCUAUCUUCUUUUGACCUUUCAAAUUAAGGUAUUUCAAAUGUAACAAUUUUUCUAUAUUUGUUGGAAUUUCCUUGAUGAAAUUCUUACACAACCACGGUUCACAUACCUUUAAUUUUAAUGUCCUUAAACAAGUUAAUUUAUCAAAUAAUUGAGGUAGAACUUCACUAGACCAUGAAUAUUCAUCACUUUUAACUAAGAGGCUACGCAAUCCUCGCAAUCCUGUAACAUUACCCCAAAUGGAGAUCGGAACCGAAGCCCCCCUACGUAGAGUUAACAGUAAAUGGAUUUUUUUCUCCCCGAAAGAGCUAAUAGCUAACUCUUCACCACUAUGAAUUUCUACUGUUAAACAUUCAUUACUACAUAAAUAUUGGGCAAAGUCGUGCACGAUAUCGUGCAUUUUGCAAUUAGAGAUUUCACCAUCAUCACCUUU